GGAAGCUGUGAUUUGACUUUGGAAUUGCCCAUAAACGCAGAUGAUCUUACUCGACAAGUUUCACAGCAACAAGAGGAGGCUGAACUGUGCGACUGAGCCCACGACUGACACCUGAGAAGUGAUGCAAGGUAUAACAAGAAAACAGCAGGUUUCAUAAAAACGGGAAAUGAGACUCAGCCGUACAGACCCCGGCAUCAUUUAAUACCUACUGCCUUCAAAUCAUUACUUAAUUUCAAUGCAGUAGAUAACCCUCGAUUUCAUCCACAGCUCUCUGCCGGUGCAGAGGCAAGCUGUUGAGCUUUGAGGCUGAGCAGCCUACCAUGGUGAACACUGCCAUCUUGAGGUGCUCUUAAACAAAUGCCCGGUCAAUGUUUUGAGCUUUAAAGCCUGAAAAUACAUCCGUCUUCUGGACCGAGAGUUUGAUUUUCUUUUCUUAAUGUAGCAGUAACAGGAAGAAUCAGACAGAAUGGGUGAAUAAGACAAAGUUGACCUGUGACUCAAGAGAAGUAAAAGGGGCAAGGAGGACCAGAGUUGGGAGUUAUGUAGAGGACGUGGCACCCACACUGUUGAGGUGAGAAUUAGGACUCAAAUGUCUUCUGAGAGGCUGGCUUAUUGCCUGGUCAGCACUCCAUUAGCACAACCAACCCGGUGGCCUGACCUUUCUGGGCCUCUGUUUCAAGCCGUCAGUGUCCUUUGCUGGAAGAGAACAGCGAAAGGGAGUGAUCUGUCACUUCACUUUAAAGUCUGACACCCUGAUGUGGAGGGGAAAAGUGACAACAUAACUGUCUGCAGCGCUAAAACACUUUUUUUGCUCUGCUGGCCUGCUGGAGUCAUUAGGAACUCAUGGGCCGCUUUUGCUCGCUCAAUGGGAGUGUGUGUGUAUGUGUGUGCACAUGUUUGUGUGUAUCCCGGGUUUUCCCGCAAUAGGAGAAUUACAGUCAGGUCCAUAAAUAUUGGGACAUCGACACAAUUCUCAUCUCUCUGGCUGUGUACACCACCACAAUGGAUUUGAACUGAAACAAACAAGAUGUGCUUUGACUGCAGACGUUCAGCUUUAACUAAAGGGUAUUUACAUCCAAAUCAGGUGAACGGUGUAGGAAUUACAACAGUUUUUAAAUACGCCUCCCACUUUUUAAGGGACCAAAAGUAAUAGAACGACCAACUCAAACGCUAUUUCAUGGAUAGGUGUGGGCUAUUCUCUCAUUGUUCCAUCAUCAAUUCAGCAGGUAAAAGGUCUGGAGUUGAUUCAAGGUGUGACAUUUGCAUUUGAAAUCUGUUGCUGUCAACUCUCAAUAUGAGAUCAAAAGAGCUGUCGCUAUCUGUGAAGCACGCCAUCAUUAGGCUUAAAAAUCAAAACAAACCCAUCAGAGAGAUAGCAAAAAUAUUACCCACUGAGCAAUAAAUGGAUAUUAGACGUCUAGUUUUUUAGACCUCAUUUCAACCAUUUAGAUUCUGAAUAUUUUUGGGCGGAAUUUAGAUGUUGCACUUUAACCCAUUAUUUGAUAACUAUUUACUGUAUUUUUCGCACUAUAAGGCACACCUGAUUAUAUGUAUAUGUUUAUUAUAUAUGGCGCACCAUCAAUGAACGCUUCUAGUCUAUUUUCAUACAUAAGGAACACCGGAUUAUAAAGCGCAUCAAGCCAAACAAAACAGUCAGAUAAGUCAAACUUUAUUUAACUCAUUCAAUAACUCCACGGGCUACGGUAGCUGCAGUGCUCCGACAAUCCAAAAGGAUUUUAAGUGCGCCUUAUAGUGCGAAAAAAAUACGGUAUUUCAAAAAGCAAAUGUGAGUUGCAUAACUGAUCUCCAAGUACUUAGCUAAAAUAAUUAUGAUAGCCGUUGAGCAAUAUACAGAGUAAUACAGAUAUAGCCCACAUUUAAAUUUAGUCUAAACUUGGUCUAAAUUUAGACGUCUGAAAAACGUUUACUUUUAGACCUGUGGUAGCUCGAUUUUAGACCAGUCGUCUAGACUACAUUUAGACGUCUAUUUGACUUCUUUCAGACUGAAAUUGCUCAAUGGGUUAGUGUGGCCAAAUCAAACAUUCUCAAAAAGAAAGAACGCAAAGUUGAGCUCAGCAACACCAAAAGACCUGGAAGACCACGGAAUACAACUAUGGUGGAUGACAGAAUUAUUACUCCGGUGAAGAAAAACACCUUGAGUUGGCCAGAUUAGGAACAGUCUCCAGGGGUUUGGUCUAUGUGUGUCAAAAUCAAUAACCAAGAGAAGACCUCACCAGACUGAAUAUAGAGGGUUCACCACAACAUGUAAACCACUGGUGAGUCUCCAAAUCAGGAAAACCAGAUUAGAGUUUGUCAAACAUCUAAAAAAGCCUUUAAAGUUCUGGAAUAACAUCCAAUGGACAGACGAGACAAAACUCAAUUUGUACCAGAGUAAUAGGAGGAGAUGAGUCUGGAGAAGGACACUAACUGUUCAUGAUCCAAAACAUACCACCUUAUCAUUAUAACAUCCUAGUGGUAGUGUCAUGGCAUGGUCAUGUACGGCUGCCAUUGGAACUGGUUCCCUUGUAUUUAUUGAUAAUGUAACUGCUGACAAAAGCACCAGGAUGAGCUCUGAAGUGUUUCGGGCAAUAUUAUCAGCUCAUAUUCAGCCAUACGCUUCAAAACAUAUUGGACUUCGCUUCACUGUGCAGAUGGACAAUAACCCCAAGCAUACUGCAAAAGCAACCAAAGAGUUUUUUUAAGGGAAAUAAGUGGAAAGUUAUGUAACGGCCAAGUCAAUCACCUGACCUGAAUCCGUUUGAGCAUACAUUUCUCUUGCUGAAGACAAAACUUAAGAGAAAAUGCACAGAGAACAAGCGGGAACUGAAGACAGUUGCAGUAGAGGCCCAUGUAUUGAAAAGUGACAGUUUGAUUAAUGUUUUUUAGUUUGUCCCAUUACUUUUGGUCCCUUAAAAAGUGAGAGGCACAUAUAAAACUGUUGGAAUUACUACACUGUUGACCUGAUUUGGAUGUACCCUAAAAUGAAAGCUGAAUGUCUGCAGUCAAAGCACAUCUUGUUUGUUUCAGUUCAAACCCAUCGUGGUGGUGGAUACAGCCAAGAAGAUGGGUAUUGUGCCGAUGUCCCAAUGUUUAUGGACCUGACUGUUUUCUCUUUGAAAUAUUUCCAACACUGCCAGUUCUCUGGCUCAGGGACAUUGCAAAGUGAUUGGACGUACUGGACAGGAAAUACUCUGAAAAGCUGAGAAAAUGCCAACAUCCUGUGAAGUGAUUCAGACCCCAGCACUGAUCGAUCACUCUGUGAGACCUCAACAGAUCUGAUAUGGUCAUAGUGAGAAAAAGAAUUAGAGUAUGUCAAAAAUUAAGCUCAUCCAAGUGAAAAUAGAGGAGCUGUUUUAGAACUGUUACCAACAAACUUAUUGGCCUAUAAUAUAGAUACAAAUAUUGGUACCAAUAAUGUCGAUAGCCUCCAAUACAAAUACAAAAAUCCAAGCCAAUAUGUUCUCCUAUGAUACAGAUACAAAAAUCAAUAUCAGUAUUGUUGGCCUACAAGUAUUGGUACCAAUAUCGUUGUUAGGCUUCAAUACAGAGAGAAAUUGCUUUUGGCCAAUGGUACAGAUACAAAUACUGGAACCAAUAUUUCUGUUUGUCCCUUUGUAAUAGAGACUAUUAGCCUCAGAGAUAUACAAUUGCAUCAGUAUCACAGUUGCCUUCUGUUUCAGUAUCGGUCAAAUAUUAUUCUAUGCCUCUGGUACAGUUACAAAUACAACACUGGGUAGGGUGACCAAACAUCCACUUUCCCCAGAACAUAUCCUGCUUUUACGUCCUGUCCUGGGCAUCCUGGUUGUUGUUUUUUUUUAAAAAGUGUCCUAGUGUUCGUGGUUUUUCAUUUGGCCACUAUGAUGAAGAAGAAAACUGUAGCUACACAAUAUUUCAUUUCAGGCCAAGUCCUGGUUUUUGUCCUGGUUUUCGCUCAUCAAAGUAUGGUCCCCCUGAUAUUGGGACCACCUUUGCCAAUGGCCUUUGCCUCCAAUGAAAAAAAACAUCUGUACUAGUAUUUUUUAAUGGUCUCUGACACGGAUAAAAAUAUCUUUAAUAAACUUGUCGUUGGCAACAAGUUUAGCACAAGUAUUGGUAGUAAUUCUGCAAUUGGCUAAUAAUUCAGAUAUAAAUAUCAAUACCAAUGUUGCUAGAGACUUCCAAUAUUACAUAAAACAUUGCAAAGGGUAUCAGGGGAUGAACCAGUUGAUGUAAUGGUCUAAUAACAUAACCAAUUAAACGAGUAAAAAUAUCAAAUGGUUUCAAACAGCAGAACUGUAUUUUCUCGGCACAAGGGAGUAAUGUCAGAUGCUCACAAAAUGUUCAAAAUAAGUGCCGUCCAGCAGUAUCACUAUUCACACACAAGCCAUUAGGUUUUACACUUGGCAAAAGGAAAGAAAACGUUACAUCAGAAUUUUAAAAAAUAGCAAUCAUUGCUAUUGAUUCUGCUGUGAUUACAUGGCACACGACCUCAACUUGGAAUCCAUGAAGACCUAAAAUCAGCAAAUGCAGCAGCUUCCCAGUUUGUAGUUUCAAUUUUACCCAAUCUCCCUGGUUUGUUACCCACUGAUUUAGCCUGUGUGGAACUGGAUGCAGCUAAUGUUUCUGCCAGUCAACAUCCUGACAAGCGAUGAAUAAUGUAGCAAGCUAAUAUAUGCCUUGGGUCUGGUGCUGUACCUCUUACAGUCUCACACUGAAGAGAGAGCCUAAGGGAAGGGUCCAAACCUAAGGCCUUCUGAUUCCCUGUGCACCAGGUGCAGUCAAUCACACUCUUCACCUUGGUUGGAUUCUCACACUGACUUAUUGACUUGUUCAGGCUGUUGAAUUGGCUUCAUGAAUAAUACAAAGAGCAAAUAUGUUUAUCUUCUGUGUCCAUUAAAGAACAAGGUCAAACUGGUAAUUUAUGUAUUUUUUUUUAACUUGAACGAGGUCUGAGGGGCAAGUGCAGGACAACUUUCGUGUUGAUACUCAGCCAAAAAGCAGCAAAAAUGGCUGAAAGCUAAAGAGAGGAUGCAGUUUUUUUCUGACUGUUACUAUUUCCUUAAUAAAUCUUUUAUAAACACCUUGCAUUUUAAUUUGAAAGUUUGAGGUCAGUUUUUGCCCAUGCCUGGAUCUGAAAUAACAUGUUACUUUUUGAGGUCACCAAAGAGAGAGUAGAGCUGUCACUGAAGCAUGAGGUUGAAUAUCUGCAUUACUGUCCAGUUUCUAAUGAGUGCAGCAUUAUUUAGAUUGUGGAAAAAAAACGUUUCAGGAGCCACAUUUAAAAAGCCUCUGUGCUAUGAAGCACCAGUUCUGCUAUAACAUAAUUAGGAUUAUGGCCCUCACCAGUACAAGAAUGAAAAACUCCUUUGUGUGAGAAACGUUCAUAAAGCUGGGACCGUUUUAGAGCGAGAGAGCCAUUUGAAUUCCAGUGCCUCUCUUUUGGCUGUGCAUGCAUGUGCAAAAUAAUGCAAAGUAAUUCAGACAGACGAACUCUAAUUAUCCAAAUCCCUUGUAAUAUCUAAAAAAGAAAAAAAAAAAGCAUCCCAGACAAUCGCUGUAAUGAGCACUUAUUUUUACCUUUUACUUCCCACCACAGUCCCUGCAAUCAAAUGACUCAGAGAAAAUAUCAGUAGAAGUAUGAUCACAUGUGCUGAAUGCCGCUGCUUCUGAUAGCCUAUCUCCUGUCAGUGAAGCGUUGGCACAUAAUUCAGGAAUGUUGAAAUCUGUUGAGUUAACUAAAACACUCCCCCACACACAGCUUUACUUCUUUUUUAGUUAAAUGUGUAAAAAUCUCACAGAAAUUCUCUUCCUUUCAUUAUGUACAUGUUUCGACCAAGUCUAAAUAAAAGCUAAUGCUUUUCCGGGGCUUUUUUUUUUCACUGAGUUUCAUGUGUUCCUUGUAAAUACCACCAAGAGCCUCUGCAACAGCUGAUGAAAAUUUAGGCCUUCUCCCUUCAAACCCUUUUUGCCAGCGAGGUUUCUCUCAAGAGUGGUAAUGACCCGGCGGAUAAUUGGCAUCACACACGCUGUGGACCCUGAAUACUAAUCAGAGCUUCUAAUCAGGCUCCUCAGAGUGAAAAGUUUAGAUAAAUGGGACUGGAAUUUGGAUAGGAAAUGUUUUUCAUUUACUUUGAAAGGAAUUCAAGUGGAAUCUAAACUUUGAAUCCCCUUAAGGAAAUGAUGUUUAACCACUUAACGGUGUAGUAACAAGGUAUUGUGAUGUGUUCAGGGACAGAGCUUUGCAGCCGUGGGAGUUAAAGAGUAAAUUCUUGCUUCAGGUAAUGUUUUGAUUAACCAGAAGAUAAACAAUACCUGCUCUUGAGCUCUCCUAAUUAUCAGAAAACCAUUCCUGAGACAUUUUUCAUGCACCAAACACUUCCUUCACCGGCUGACGGUUGGCAUUUGAGAGGUAUAAUGCCAUGCAUGAAAAUCCUUCCUACAGUGAUGGACACGCUGUUUGAUCAAAGAAGAUAUCCUGGGUGGAUUAAAGUUUUAGGAUGCCGAAAGUGCAAGAUAUCCCCUAUAAGAAAUGCUUCUUCUGUCUUCAUACCUUCCCUCUGACUGUAAUUUGCUCUCUCGUUCUGUCUCUUCUCAUUUUUUCCUUCCUCCUGACACAUUUGAAUCACAUAUCACUUUCCAGCCUGUGCUCGGAAAAAGGUCAACCCCCCCUUUUCUCUUUUCUUACUGAUGUGAGAGUCUGAAGCCUGCCCGAACUGUACUGGCUGAAAUGGAUCCUGGUCAAAGACUCCUGAAAACCAGGAAAGGAAAGUUGAGCAAGGUUCUUUUCUACUUGGUGCACAGGCUGAUUCGACCUUGCGCAGGCAAUAGCCAGUUAGAAGAUACUUGACAUGCACUCCAACACCAAUACUUUUUCAGAUCCUGUCUAACCGAGAUGGGUAUUUUUGACAGAAAAUAACAUGUGCUCAAAGUUCAUCUUUAUAACAGUUCAAACGGAAACUUUGAAAUUCAUGUAAAUCUUAGGUCCCUCUGAUUACUUUAAUUACUAAUUCUUUUUCCAGUGUGUCUCUUUCUGUGUUCUGAAUAUGAAACUGAUUGGCAAUGAUGAUAGCAAGACUCCACACAUCACAGCUUUGAAGAGUUUGUUUAUUACUGCCCAUAAGAUUACUAUUUUUAAUAACUGACAAGCAAUUAGACUGCAUUUCCUCAGGCGUGUGAUAUCACACAUCUUUAUCACUCUGGAUGACUGCUAAGAAAAAAAAAAAGGCUUCAGUCGAGUAUGAGGUGUAUAAUGACAACAUACAGGCUACCUGCAGACCUCUAAAGCAGAGACCAUUUCUUAUUCAAAUAAUGAAUGGAUGUCCCUUAAAGUAAUGCACAUUUUAACCAUUUAUUUCCAGUUGUAUUGUGACUCUGACAGUAAAGACAGUUCAUAAAGAAAGGGAAGAAGAUCCCUACAUAUUCUAUGCUAAGACUACAAUGUGUCAUCCGAAAGGUCACACUCCUACAUGGCAGUUUUUGUCAUGCAUUAGCCAAGCAGCUUCACAUUUAAUAGGAGGAUGUGGCUAAUUAGUUAUUUCACAGUUCCUGGAAUAGUUUGCUGGCUCUGUGCUGCAUUAAAAUGUUGCAAAGAUUCAGAAACAAAGGAGUUAAGUCGGCCAUAAUUUCCUGAUCAUGCUCUCUUGGAACGCAAAUGGAUCAAAUGAGAAUCGUCUGCACGGCACAAAAUUAGCAAAAUGUCAGAGAAACCUACAGAAGAUAUGUUCAAAUGCUAAUGAGAUGAUAUCCACAUAGAAAGGCUGUGAUGCUCGUACAAUACUGCAGUGACUAAACCACCAAAGCAGAAUUAGGAAAUGCAUUAUUCAAUAUUCAAGCCUGCUUCUCUCUAUAUAUCGGAGUUGCAGCUUUUACUGCUGGUUACCAAAGAGGACUGUAAUUAACACGUGUUUCAAUGUCCACAACUACACUUGUCUCAGCUAGCUUAUUCUGAGAUUUUGCCAUGCUGAUACAAAUGUGAUUUUAAGUUGCAGAGCACUGGCCUGGUGUUGCCAGAUCCAUCCGCUGGUUCAUAUUCAUUUCCACUGACAUCUGUUGCCAUGUCCUACGUCACAUGUUGCAUUCAUCUAAUUGGUUGUCUGUACAAUCGCUCCCAGACGCAAUUCGGUGCAUGACCGUCGCUAAUGCCCCUGGAAAAAUGGAACAAGUCACACAAUUCCAGACCAGUUUACCACGCUGAUUUAGUCAGAUGACACCAAGCUUGUAAAGCACACGAAUUCAAGGGUAAAUGUGCCAGCACUGUUGUGAUCACUGGUUACACUGAAUAAGAAAAAUAAUAUUUUUUGCAGAAAAAAUCUGUGUAAAUGACCUGAAAACAAAAAUGCUUGGACUCCAGGCUACAGUUAAGUUAGCCUAAAAAUAGAGGAAUGAACUGAAUUUUUACCAAAUGUAUUUAAUCACAUCCAUCAAUGACACAGAGAGACAGAAAAAGAAACCUGCACUGUCAAAACACUUCGAUUGACUGUAGGUGUGCAGUUAUUGUUGCAGCUACACUUUUAUGUAAAACACACCCACUUAUCAGUUUUAAUCAUAGGUCUAUAACAGAGAGUGACUCACCCUCUCUCUGAAUGAGGUGCCAUAAAUUUGCACUGUAAUUACACAAAACUAAUUCUGAUGAUGCGUACGGUCGUGACACACCUGAGAGUAAAAAAGUGUCUCCCCGGUGAGUGAUGCUUCCCGACAAUAUCCCUGACCCUGAGGCUCUGUUCGAAAAGCUGCUUUCGCUUCAAAUGAAAGUUAUUUACUUUUUCUAACAUGCCAAUAAACUCGGAGUUAGUCACAAAAGGAUACUUCAGAUUUUCUCUUAAAGAUAUGAAAACGUUGAACAAGCGCUAAACCAUAAUGAUCUGUUUUCUUGACAUUUCUAUGGGCUGGUUAUUACUCUCAACUUUGCAACUUGGAUGGUGGAAAGAUAUGCCUCCAAGUUUAAAAAAAAACCUCAAACAUGUCAUCAAACAACAUCCAUAACCUUGUUCCAAGUCUGAAUAUACCGUAUUCAUAUGCAGAGGCUGUUAAAAGAGAAAAACAUAUGACCAACUCUUUCUGCUUUACUGCCAGAGAUCAGCAGUAUCCAUGGUAACUACAUUUAUUAUUUCAACAAGGUAAAUUUAAAUCCUUCAAUAUUUCAAUGUCUACUUCUGUGUUCUUGCAUUAAAUAGACAGAAUGCAUGUCCUAAAGCAAGGUAAUUUAAGAGCAAAUUAUUGUAAAAUAAGGCCAAGUAUCACUUCACCUAGUUGGACAGUACAGUUUAAUUUGCAGGAAAUGGUUAUUUUUCCCCCUGUCUUGCUAUAAACUGACACAUACCAGUAAUUUAGAAAAUGCCAGACUGACUCCACACAUCAUUUUACAGGAAACACAAGCUUUUAGCAUUCAAAUCACUGCCCAGAGUGAUAAGGUAUUAUCGGAUGACAACAUACAAUUUAUGUUGAGCAAAUGAGACGCAGAAUAGAAAAUGUCACUCUCCCUGUGGCUACACUUUCCCAAAGCACAGAUUCAGUUGGGGAAAAAUAGAGUCAUGUGUUGUUGCCAUUCAUUUUCCAUGGUGUGAUGUCUGAUGCAGAGACUGCCAAUAAUCAUGUUUUCACGCUGAAUACUGCAAACAACACCACGUGACUGACCACUUCAAGGACGCUUAAAAGCUAAUUCCUGCUCUUUUUAUAUGUUCAUAAGCUCAGUGUUGGUUCCUGGCCGUGAAACUUGUCUGUGGGAUGAUGUUUCUCAUCUCCACGGUCCCAUUCAGCAAGAAAUAGAAGUCAUUUGUGAGGACCAACCAAUGCAUGCUGAUCAUAUGAGUGUGUUGUGGUUGUUGAAUCUUUAAAAAAGCAUCUCAAACCCCGCCACCAGUCUUUGAAGCGGAUAUACUUGAUGUUUUUUUUGAUCGAUUUAUACUGGCAGUAAAAACCUUAAAACGGUGUCUUUGAGGAUAACCUUGCGUCUAUAUCUAAUAAUUAUCGUCUUUCAUGGACUGAACAUUUCAUUAUCUCCUGGUAUGUAUUAACAGUUCUAAAAGCAUGAAUAGAAAAUUACACCUUUCAAGACACCUGGCAACAUGAAAGGUAUUUUUGAGUUCUCGUGACCCCACUGGGUCUGAAAAUUACUCCUUUAGUAGAUAAGAAGAAGGGGCAUGUCCAGGAGGUGGACUUUCCUCGCAAUCUGGUGCCCUCCAGUCCCCCAUGUGUCACUCCAAAACCUUUACAUUCAAUUUGCCUGAUGAGACGCAGGACUUGUCUAUUUUUCACAGCAACAGGUAGCUAGUAAUAGCUAGCAUCUAAAAAUGUAAACAACCAUCGCAGUGACACCAUUAAAGCUCCAGUGAGGAUUCUCCCAACAUUUAUGAAAUUGACUAAAAUACAUUUUGAUAUUUUUUUAUAGUAUCCAGAGCCCAACAAGACCAUCAGCAACAAUAUUAAGAAAUUGUAUAAUGUAUUUUUUAAAGCCUGAAAUAGGUGUAAGGGAGGUAGGUGUCAGCCAAGAGAGACAGGGAUGGAGAAACAUCCCCGUUGUUACAAUGUCUACAAUAAAUAUUCACAAUUUAUGAUGCAUUUGACGGUCAAAAGUUGGCAUUUGUUUUUGAAAAAAAAAAGACUACUUAAGCAUGAAGAGGAGAAGUAUUGACUGCUUCAUCCACAAGGGGGUGCCAAAUUCAACACAAACAAAAAGUUCCUCACAGGAGCUUUAGGUUAGGCGCUUCAAAAAAAUUGGGAGUCCAAUAUCUGUGUGCACUUCACGCCAUCCCCGCAUAAAUUAGUGCCAAAGCUAGUCUACCAUAGUCAAAGCAGUUUGGACUCGCCCAGAAAAAGAAUUAAAAAAAAUAAAAAAAUUUAAAAAAGGGUUGUAAAUCCCACCCCUCUAAAUUUUCAGCGAUAUUAGCGCUUACAGGCCAAACAAGGUCUCCUUCACUAAAAAACCAUUUGUUAUUUUAUCCAUAAUGGAUACUUAAAAUUUAACUCGUACCUGCGGCCUUUGAGGGACUACAGCUGGUGGAAAUAUCUGGAGGGGGAAUCCCAGGUGCAGUGGGAUUCAUCUCUUUUUAUGCUUUUUCAGGGUCUUUUAUUUUGUUACUCAGGACAAGUGCGACAGCUCUGUGGGGAUUCGCAGGAAUGUGAGACUGUAAUUGUUCCCUAAUGACUUUCCUCUUCUCGCUAAUUGAAGAUCACAAUGUCUAUUACGAACCGGAUGGUUUACACAUACCACCAUCAGCAAAAUGCAUACUCAACUGUGGGCUAAUGAAUUGUGUUUUUUUUUCUUUUUUUUCCCCCCAUAAAACAUCUACAAUAAACUCAGAAGCUGUGAUUAACAAGACCUGCUCUUCCAGCUGGAUGUUACUCUGCUGGUCCUCUGCCAGUCUGCAGCGCUGUUUUACCAACCCUCAUUCCUUUGUGAGUUAUAUCUUUUAUAAGCAUGCAUGGUAAACAAACAUGAUGAAAAGAAAAGGAGCUCAGUCAUUUCAGGCAACAAAACAAACACAGUGAUCUGUCCAGCAAAUAUUACCUCAAAUUUCCUGUAUUUUCAUAGCUCUUCAGAACAAGAAAACUCAGACGGAUGAGAGCUUUUUCUGUUUGUCUUCUUAUUGAGGUGCUAGUGAAACAACUUACAAAAAAAAAAAAAUGCCAAAGCAUCUUGAAAUUUGGAAUUAUUUCACAGUUUUUACACAGUCUACUUCCCGAGUUUGAGGUUAAAUAGUUUCCAGCUGUGAAAAGUAUAGGGAGCAUUAGGAGGCUUAAGUUGAGAUUUUACUUUAUUUCUUAAUGCCUAAGUUUCGGGCUGUGUCAAAGUCUCAGAAUGUUUUUUUUUUUUUUUUGCCUGCUUGACCAUUUUGUUCUGGCAUUUAAGCAGAAUGACCUUUAACUGUUUAAAAUAGCAUGUUUUCGAUUAUAUAGCUAAAUCUACAUAGCUAACUGUCAAUAUUUCAUUCUAUUUCUAUAUCUUUUCCAACUUCUAUAUCCUAUCCUUAACUUUCUGUAUGUUUCACUUCUGACACCUCCUGUAGACUAAGUGAUGCCUCAUAACUUGAAUGUUUAUGACCUUGUUCUCUUCAGAGUGAAUACCCUUUUUGGGCUGACGUCACUAAUGAUUUCACAGUAUUAGCUGGAGGCCAAAAUACACAAAACUGCAAGCAAACAUAAAUUGCCACAACAGAGCUGAGGGCAACAUAUAAAUUUUGAAGAUUUAACUUUGUAGUGUUGUUGGGUGCCAAAACAGAUAAUAAUCAUAAUUAUCUUACUGUAUUCAAGCUGUCACUGCUUGCCAACAAAACACAAAGUUAAAUUUGGUGAAACAUGAUCAGACUGGAUAGAGAAAAAAGACAACUUUCUCAGAAUGAGGUUCUUAGACCAAAAUUUAAGGGGUACUGGCACAUUGAGCACCUUUCCCUCCUUCUACAUCCUCUUUCUGUAUUUGUCAUCAACUUUUAAUCAUCAUGUUUCACUAGAAUCACUAAUAUACAGUCUUUUCUGGGAGUCCCUGAGGUCCAUCAUGCUGUAGGUUCCUCUGGGUCACCGCUGCAAGGCCACUUUAACGACGUGCACCAAUUUCACCUCUAUCCACCUCUCUCUUUCUGCAUUUCCCUCUAUCCCCUCUCGAAAGCCAAUGCAGUAGCAGCAGAUGACUGUCUAACAUGAGUCUGGUUCUGCUCAAGGUUUCUGCGUGUUAAAGGAAGUUCUUCCUCUCCACUGUAACUUGCUCAAUACGGCAAAGGGUUAAAGGUGGGAUGAGAGUGGGUCUGAUCUUUAAAGAUGGGAUCCCACCUUAUCCCAUCUUUGAACUGGGUCUUUGUGAAUAGAGUAGGGUGACUAUAUUCUGACUUCCCAAAAAGAGAACACUCUUUACACUACGCGGGGAUGGGACAUGGAGUCGCACAAUGUUCAUUUUGAGAGUUUUUCAGAACAGAUCAAGUGCCUUUUACGCGCUUCUAAUUCAGUAAGUCCACGUGACGAAGCUUAGCAUACAAAACCGCAGAAAUUUGAAGGAUCUUAUAAACUUCACCAGACAAAGCCGGACAAACCCGGACAGCUCAGACAGCCCCCUAAAAAGAGGACAUGUCCAGGUAAAAGAGGGUGUUUGGUCACCCUAAAAUAAAGUGUGAUCUCGACCAGCACCACAUCACCGAUUACAAACAUGCAUAAGUCUGCUGUAAUCAUAUUUCACAAAGUCAGGAUAUGCUAUAAUAUCAGGAAUAUAUAACAAAUCAAACAAAUAAAUCUCAGCUGUGUUAGCAAAAUGAAGAAAAUGAUGGCAGUUACAAGAAAUUAAGGCUUAAUGAGGGCAAACAGAGUGGCACUGAGAUAAUGAAAAUUUGUAUGAAAACAUGAUUAAUAGUGAUAAGCAUUUGUAAUUUUACAUUCAAUGAGAACAGCUUCACCCUUAACCUAUUUUAGUCUCUGUUGAAUCAAUUUCAGGAAAACACAUUCAAAAACUGACAUUAAUAUUGUUCAUUUGCACGAUCUGGGCGCACACACACACACACACACACACACACACACACACACACACACACACACACACACACACACACACACACACACACACAAACGCGGUGUACUCUUUCUUAUGAUUAGUUUUAAGAAGUGUGUUAUCAGGCUGGAUGAAGACUAUCUAGGGACCGUAUAUUUGAUAUACAGGCAAACUCAAACUAUGUGCUAUAAGACAAUAAACACAUUUAACACUCAUCUGACCCCAAAAAAUAAAGGGCAGCAUAUCUUGUUAAGCACGAAAGAGUUGCAUUCAACCCACUAAUGCAUAAGGAGAAGCUGUGGGUGUGUGCACUUUUUCUGCUCCCAGUUGUAGUGUACAGCACUCAGAGUGAAUAAAUGUGUCUCAGAGGGUGUUUCUUUCCAUCCCACUCUUUUAAAGAUGCUUUACAUAAUUGUAUUGGUAAUUACUGUGUUCUGUAGGUUUAAUCAGCAGCAAUCCCAAUUUGCUCUGAUUUCUAAGGAGUGUGGGGACUUAGCCACACAGAGUUGGGACAUGUGCUUCAUUCUGCAGAGCUGUGUACUUACUGUUUUCAAGUAGCCUACAAUCAUCAAACUUAUUCGAGCUUACAAAAAUGGUCAGGGAAGCAGAAUGGACUCAGUAGAUUUUACAAUAUAGCUUUGGACACAACCUGUCUUUACCUCUCUGUCUUUCCAAGCCAAAUAUCAAAGUAGAGGAGUUUCAAGUCUGCAAUCCAUCCCCCGUCUGUUAGACACAUUUAACAGAGAUAUUGAUGCAAGUGCAGGGGCCAGGAAAAAGCCCAUCAAGCAGAGUGCAUUGCAAACAGGUACAAUGAGGACCUGUCUACCUGUCUACAGAGCAAUACUGAGCAUGAUUGGAGCACUGCGGCGCUGAUAUGGCUCACUUCCUGUUUGUGUGUAUGCUGCCAACUUUGUCACAGCUACAUGAUCCGCAAUAAAUAACAGGAGCAUUCCUGACAGAACUGUUAGAAAUAUUCACUCACCUCGAUAUUGGACUGAUUACUGUGGCCCGUUCAGCUGCCUUGCAUUCUGGUUUGUCAGAUAGUCAAUUAUUAUAAAUAAUGAAAGCAACCUCAAUUUAGAGAGGCUCUUAAUACCUUUGUUUUCUCUUGAAAAAGUUCCAAUUAUCCACCACAAAGACGCUGAUAGUACGCCUUGUGCUUUACAAAUAACAUUUCAAACUCGUGUUCAUGUGUGUGUCAAUGAUGCUAGGUUUAUAAUUGGCCAUCAUUUUCACGUAUUCAUCAUCCUUUUCAUCCUGCUGAGCCAACUCAAAAUCCUAAAAGCCAAAGCAACAGCCCACAAAAUACAUUAUUACCGAGAUGCAUUAUUUUCAGCAGGAGUUUUAAACGUGUGAAGUGGCGGUGCAAAGAGAGUUAAGGUCAUCUUAUACAAAUAAAGCAGAAUGUGACGGGGAAAAAAAUCCAUUUAAACGUGCUGAAAUGUUCAAGUAUUUAAAACGAGGUAGAAAACAUCUAGGUUAAGUGUUAACUUGACUCUGCCCUCUUCUGUGGAUCCUCUCAACAGUUCACUCAAAGUUUACUGAAGGUUCAUCCCACACAUGAAACAGAAUCAGCAUCUGUAGGAUAUACAGUACAUUAAACGCCUGCAGGUCAAUAUAUUCUCCUGAAAAACUUUACAAAUAUACGCCUGCCUGGUCUGAAGCCCUGAGCGUCAAAGUAUGACUGUCCUGGUAUCGUGAUGGUCUUUCCAUGGUCAGAUAUGCCAUAUCACAUGUGAUUAGUGUCUUUACUUCUGCUGGCAUUUUAGAAAUCAAGCCUUACAUGCAUUUGACUAUGAGGGAAAUCUGCUGAGGUUUCAGAUUACUAGAAUUAAAUGUAGAGGACUGAGUUUUAAACUGGAACAUAAAGGAAUCCAAAAGUACAAGUUUGGUCAUGCUUUAAAAAAAAUAGUAAAAAUAUUGAAAUAGCUGUCGAUUAAUUUUCUGUCAGUGGACAAAUGUGCAUUAAAUUCACUUCCGUAUCUUACCAGCGAAUGUAAUUUAAUCCCUUCUUUUCUGGACACUUGCUGCAUGACUCUCCUGGGAAAUAGGACACUAGUGUCUCCUGACAAGUUGGCAUGUGGUGUCCACCGGUGUGUGUUGCUCUUGACACACAUCAUUAAAAAGGUCCCUUGAUAAAUAACACCUUUGUGAAGCAAACAAUGUCAGUUUCCGUGGGUGUGGGUCAAGCGUUGAUUGAAUUCUGUGACUAUUUUGAAGCCGUUUCCUGUAUUAGAUUGUAUCAUAAUGAACUUCCAGAGGUUGCUUAGGUAAUCAGGUCUUUAAUGCCUCCUGCAAGCGUUUCCUUCUGGAUUUUAUGUGUUCUUGCACUAUCCAAUCACAGAGUAAUCACAGGGACAUGCUAACGACAGUUGUUAUACUGCAUAAAGAGGUCAGGGAGAUAACCUCCAUUGUCUUUAGUAUGAAGGAGCGAAACAUCUCCCCAUGAUUCCUCCUCCUGCUUUCAUCUCCCCUGAAAAAUGCGCUAAAAAAGGCCAAAAAUUACAGACAGUGUGCUGGAUUUUGGUUUAUAUCUUUUUUGUCUUUUUCAGCAAAAAAAACUUUUGUAAUUGCAUUUUCAGUUUCGGUUUUGAAGGUGUAAGUUUAUCCAGUAUUUUGUGUUGGGUUUUACAGUAUACAAGGUCCCACCACUGUAUGCUAGAAUGAUGGAUUGCACCAUGGGGUGGUAUUAUCAGAAUUACAGUGAGUAGCCCAAGGGUCAAAGCAUUGUUUGUUGGUUCAUGGUCCAUGUAGGCUUUUAUAUCUCCGACAUCAGUCAUCCAAUUUAUGAAACUUUGGGGAAAACGCUAGUCAGUGCCUCCCACUCCUGUGUCUGAACUGUUAGAAUUGUUACUUUGAGCCGGUCUUAAUGCAUCAGUCUUGAACAUACAAGGACGGGAAAUUAGUCGUUCAAAUACCACAAAUGUUUUAUUGUUGUAAAGUCAAUUUGUUGUAAUGAAAUCCUUUUAAACCACGUUAAACCAAGGGACCAAGUACUGUAAUUAAAAAACAUGUUAUUGUACUAAGGUUUGUGGUAGGAUAACAGCCUCUCUAUUUUGUGUGCGAGUGUGUGUGCAGAUCAGCACAAAUCCCCUUACAAAUAAACUGUUUUUCCAACAAAUCACACCUCUGUGCCCUUGUGGUGUUUUUCCAUGAACAGGGAGCUUAACUCUGUGACUCCAUGUCUGCGAUGUUUUGGAUCUUUGUGCCCCGAAUUAAAUUUGAAUUGUUCCAUAAAGGGUCAAACAUCUUGAGAGAAUAAACAAGACACAGCAUGAAAUUAGACUGUUGUUGGGAAAGGCAGAGGUGCACUUAGAUACAAAAUUCUUAUUACAGAAGUGUUUGCCCACAGAUCCACGUUGUGGCUGACUAGCCUGCUGCAAUAUUGAGCGGGCAAACAUCCCUCCAUCUCAUCUCCCUGGUACAAUACAGGUCUCAAAAUUACAGUGUUUCCGCCCUGAGGGUUGGGUAUUUGAGUUUGUACGUGGUGAUGGCAUGAAGUGAUGACGUCUAUGUGGAUUCGGAAGUGUGUUUGUGCACUGCUUCGGAUCAAAAUAAGUAUUAUAAACAAUCAUAAAAAGCAGCUGAGUUGGUUUCAGCUCUAACCACAAUCUCAUCUUGGAAAAUAUUCAUUCCAGACAUAGCAAGAUAAACUUUAGCCAACCCCUACUAUUUAAAAACAUGAUGUUUUUUUAAUAUGAACAAACAAAGGUAAACCAACCCACCGGCUAAAAGAUGAACAAUUUCUUUUUUGUAUUUUUAAUGUUGUUGUCUCUGCUGAAACAACUUCAAUUCCAACAGAGUAGAGAAUUCAAACUAAGAGUCACAGCACAGAUUCACUGUGAGUUUGCAUUUGGCAGCUUAUCUCUCUCUUUCUAUCGCUAACUUCCCUACGUUUCCGCCUCCCGGUCAUAGUAAACCAUUUACUGAUGGGUUUGGUUCUGCUCCUGUCCAUUAAAAAAAAUUUUUUUUUCCUCACAAUUGUUGCCGAGUGUUUGCUUAAUGGUAAAGAAAAGUUAUUUUUCUCUAAACAACAGUAAAAAUGACAUUUUAGACCUGAUCUUAUUUGUGGUUGUUGCUAGACAAUUGUUAUAUGGUUUGGUUCAGUUAGGGAUGAAAUCAAAUCCAGAUAUGAAUUUAGAAAGUCACAGAUAAUGACAGGUAGAACAUUUUCUUUAAAAACCCACAAAAUGUUCAUUUGAAGUAAGCUUAGAAUUUAAGAUUUAACCAUAUGAGCUUAUUUCUUCCACUUAGAAUACUCAGUUGUAGUGAAGUUUUUAAUCACUCAGAGAAAAUCCGUCUCACACUGCGGAAGAACAAAGCAAAGGAUAGGAGGAGGAGGAGGAGGAGGAGGAGGAGGAGCUAUCAGAGGUGAGAGCCUGGUGUGGCAGCUAAUUAUAACUUCUGUUUAAAGCAGGUUUCAUCCCUUUAUGAUGUAAAGCCAUCAGUAUGUUUUUUUUAAAAUUUUGACUUAUCAUCUACCAACACCCUGGUAUUAUUUCAAGGUCCUAAAAAUACUAUAGUAUAAAUAAUACUUAGUACUUACAGUUUGAUUACAUCCACCCUAGUCUUUUGUUGCAGGAGUAAAAAAGAUUUAAAACCUUGUCACAUCAUAAGCCACACUCUCUGUCAGCUUUCUAUCAGAAUACAGACUCAGAUCAUCCUUUUGAUUGAACAGGUACACAUACUGCAUAAUGAGUUUCUGCACACCCAUAAUAUCAAUCAAAAAUGACUGAUUGAUAGAAGGAAAAGAUCUACAUGAGAUCAUUUUUUAGUCACAGUGUACGUCAUAGAAUUUGCCACUUUAUCCACAGAGGCCGUCAAAAUAGUUCCUCUCAGUUUCUUUGACUGGUUUGACUCACUUACACGGGUUCAUUAUAAUGCACAUUGAUUACACACACACACACACACACACAAUCAAAUUGGAAACCUGACAGUUGCUGUUUUUGUCAUUGCUGCAGUAAUGGAGUAGAUUUUACAGACUGAUUGAAGCUGGGAGAAGGGGCAGGAACACUAUGACUGCCCCGGCUCUCUGUAGUUGUGUUUUGGAGAACUCUUCGGAUGAGGCUCUCACAGCAGCAGAGGGAAGGCGUGAAGAGAGAGUUUGCGAGGUGCCUUGGAAAGUGCCCAAACAGCUUGUGUUUGCCAAAUCUGUGUUUCCAAUGCAUAGGCCUUACCUGGGCAACCUGCCCAACCAAACGUGUUCCCACCCUGGGAGAUUCUUUAUAAUUCAAAUUCAAAUUUACUUCACAUAACACCGAGGGCUGAAAAUAACCAACUGUGCUCUACCAAAUACUAUACUGAAGUGCUGUUUUGUGGGUAAUUUCUGCUGAUACAGGCGUGUACUCAACUACAACUUAUUGGCAGCUUUAGCUUUUUACACCCACCCUCUUUGUUUCUUCAUUAAAUAAAGCUACACAUUGUUUUGUGGACUCGGUCUGAAUAUAACAAAUAAAACGACCAAAUACUAGAGAAGGAGGGUCAAAAGAGGUCAUCAGUAUCUGAAGUAAAUGAAACAUUAAAGUGACCUGCGCAUGAAUGAGUCAAUAACUGUAAUCUUACGAUACUCUCAAUUGCUCGACUUUCUCUUCCUUGAAAAUGUCUGAGCACUCCCUCCACUGCUGCAUAACACUGACCUGACUGCGAUGAUGACAGCCUUUGCUAAGAGUUCACAUUGUCCCAGUUCACCACUAGACUCCAAUCACUUAGCUGAGUAAUUGAUUCAUAAUUCAUGUAAGGCCAUGAUAUAUUAAAGUCUCAUCUAUUAAACCACUACUAUAUAUCUGUGGACAACAUCUAUAUAUCAAAGUCACGUCCUACGGAGCUUCUCUCACAUCAUAACUGGGAAACAUGCCACCAUUACCUAAAUUCUGCAUGUCACACACGUCAGCAGUAACAUCAUGAAUGCAGACGCCAUAGAGCAUGUAAGAGUUAUCUUCUUAAACAGUAAUUAACGCUUCUGGCAGGAUUUUAUAAUGAUACUGCCAGACUUUUCAAACAUAAGAAUUUAUAGCAUGUGUAGCUGCAGCAAAAAAAAAAACAUGGUCGAUACUCUCCUCUGGUGUGAUGUUAAAUGUUGACCUACUGCAGGUGCAACACUCUCCUCUAGGUCAGCUGAAGGAUCUUAAGAAGAAUCUUAAGCAUCGGAUGUAAACAAUAAAUACAUUUUCAGCUUUUUCACGAUAAAGGUGUAUCAUGCACACAUGGACAAAAUGUUGAUUUCAAAGGUGGUUGAGGGGCACAUGUGACCUGAAUACUGUUGAGUACUGUUAAGACUAAGCAAACACCACAUCUCACACACACAGUAACAGAGGAGGUAUUACGGCCAGCAGGUGGAUGGAAGUACAAACCCGAUACAGGGAUUUACAUAAAAACUUCAAUCAAUGUGAAGUUAUGGAGGGAAAAUGAACACCACCCUCCUGUAGACUUACAUCGGCGAAUAGCGAUGUUCAUGGACUGACUCUUGUGAGCAACUUGCAAAAUACUAGUCCAGCCGGCAUGGAGUGACUGACAGCAGAGAUAGUCAAUCACACACAAAAAGCAGCCCUGCAGCAGAGCCAAUCAAGGACCUUGUGGGCGGUCCAACCCGAGGGAAAGCAAUUUUCGACUUGAGCAGCCGUUUGGUCCUAGUGCCUGACGUGUAUUUGUUUGCUAUAGCAUAAAGUAACAUUGUUUCCAGAUGGUUUAAACUGCAGGGGACCAAAACAGGCUUUUGCAAAAGUGGGGGGGACAUGCCGAGUUGUUUAACAUUUAAAUUUGUUAUAAUCACCUCACUUAACGUCUCAUUUAAUGUAGAUGCUCUGGAGAUCAUAUUGUCCUGAACCCUAUGGUAUCACAUCAUAUAAUGUAUGGAAAGUAUCGUUGUAAAUUGUAGUGUAUCGUGACGUAACAUAGCGUACCGUAAUGUAACGUAACAUAGUAAAGCAAAAGCAGUGUUGCGUCACUUCACAAAACGUAACACAGUGCAACAUAUCCUUGUGUAUUGUAAUGUGUCAUAACACAACAUAAUGUUACAAAAUGUAACUUAGUGUAUGUUAGUAUAGAAAGAUACUCAUUUGUACCUUACACAAAAGUACUCUGUGGUAAGACACGCUGUAGUUUUAGAGAAGGAAGAAUGUAGGAAAAGGUAAAAAAGUAAAAACUGUCAUGUUUUAGUUAUGCUGUAUAUUGCUGUAUUGUGGCUUGUGUAUCUUUUGUUUAAAAGUAGCCUUGAGCCUCUAAUGUGAUCACAGCCACAGGGAACUAAUAUUCAGUAUAAAUAAAACAAUAUGUGCAGUGUGAUAUUCCUGAAUUAUUAUUAUUCAAAAAGAAACCGGCCUACUUAUUGACAAUGAGCUCAGGGGGCUACACUAUUCUCCACAGUUGUCCCCGGUGGUAAAGUGAGUCUCCCAGCUACAGUUGGCUCACACUGUCCUGCUCUACUUCUGGGAUUUUUAUGCCCAGCUCUUUGUGAGUGACCCAGCACUUGGUACUUUGGUAAUUACAGUGAAGACAAUGUAACUGAUGGGGAUGAUGAAAGGUCUUAUGAUUAGAACUGGGUGCUUUACUGUUGUCUUCAGUGUCCUCUAUUCACUUUGUGUAUCGCCCCUAACAUUACACAGCAGUACCUGCGUCAGAAUGGACUUAGUGGCUCCUACUGAUCUUGUUUCUUGUCCAGAUCUUUGCUUAUGUUGUUCAUGCUCUCGAAUGUAAUCGCAUUGGGUAAAAGCUAAAUGACAUUAUAACAUGGUAGAGUUGAAUAGAGUUCAGCUAUUUAGGUUUGCUGUCCUGUUUCAGAUUUCUGGGGUGAUACUUAGGCAUAUAAACACAUCAACUCACCUGUGAUGAUCCCCACAGUUUUCUGUCCUCUCAAUCAUCAAUGUUUCCACUUCGUAACAUCAGGAAAGGAUGUGAUGUCACCCACGUAAUGACUGCAGGACCAGGCUGCUGAUAAAUCAUCCCCAUAAACCUCUAAUUUGCAGCUCUGCAGCGACUGGCCGUCAUCUCUGUGUCCACUUGUUCGUCUGCGGUCAGUCAUGCCUGCAGAUUUGGAGCAAAGACAAUUAACAUUGUGUUUGUUGGAUCACAGGACUCGCCAUGAAAAACUCAGACUAUACAAGUAGUUAUUUUGUGGCUCUAUUAUGGGCAGAGGAAAAUAAGCAAUAGAGCACUGUGCACGUCUCUAGUGCCUGCCUGGCUACGUGAAGAGUGGGCAGGCCCAGUAUUGGCGGCCCUCCAGUUGUCACUCAGACAACAAAAGUCCCUUGUACUUAAAACGCGCACAUUACAAUUUAAAACCUUAGUCUGUGGGAGGAUGCUGCCAAAAAGACAGCAAAUGUUCCCAGUACACUUUCCUCCUUUCUUUAAAUGCAUUUGUUCACAAAUAUUUUCACAAGUUUGCAAAACGAUUUUCACACAUUUAUGAAAUUGUUGUUCUCAACAGCAGAUCACAACUUAAAGUUUACAGCCUGUGGACAUUUUUUGUUUGUUCUGUGGGCCUACAGUCUCUUUGUUCUCCAUGUGGCUCUCUGUCUUUUUGUAUCCAGCAUUUCAUUCACAGGCAGUUAACACGCCCCACCCCUCCAGCUGCAGCCCCUCCCACCUCUGAUCCUCUCCUCGUCUUAACAAGGGAGCAGGUGCAAGACUCAUGUGCCACAAAACUGAAGUGGAACAAUAAAAUACAAGGCUGUCCUCGCCUUUGUCUAUGGAAAAGUACAACACUGAUAAAAUAACUCUAUCUUAUGGCUGACUGGAGGGGUGUGCACUUAUCUAGGAGAAGUUUAUCUAUACAUUAACCUCUUUGGGAAUAUUCUUAGUCAGUGUAGCUCAUGUGAAAAACCAUGCGAGUGAAUUUUUGAGACCUUUGAAAGGGAGCGUAACUCCAACCACUCAACCAAAAAUAAACAGAUUGUUUUUCAUCUUUAAACGAAAAACCCGAAAACUGUUUUGGCUGUAAGCUCUGGUAAAUCUAACAGGAACUGUGCUCAUUCUCUUGUCACUGUUAGUAAUAGAAAAUACAUUAAAAGUAACACCUUCAAUGUUCACUGGUGAAGCAAAGUGGGACUCAGACAUGACGAAGCAUUGCUUCUGCCUUGGAUUAAAGAGGCUCUUAACAAACCUAAUGGCAAAGUAGAUUCUUUCAGGGCAUCUUCUUUACUUUCCUUUUUGCUCAGUAGUUUAUUUGUCAAGUGUUGGCAAUGAAAUGAACAGUGUUACGUAAAUGCUGCAUAAAACUUUGUGAAUGUAUUUAUUUUUUAUUUUAAACGUGUCCAGACCAAAUUGGAAAGAAAAAUAAAGAGCUGUUUAUUUUCUGUCUUUACUUUUGUUUUUCAAACACCUCCUGGGCAAAAAUGGGAGAAAAAUAUCAGCUGGAUUUUUUGAAGAAAUACACUGCUUUACCUUGAGGUCCUUCAGCCUUUUCCUCAGGGACUAUGUUUUUGUUGGAACAGCAUGCAUUAUGUAUUCCUGCCCUUACCAUGUAAUAAAAUAGACUGUAUAGCAGCUGUUUGACCUGAAAAAUCCUUGAUAAAAGCAUCAGAUAGCUCUUUAUAAUUGUUACAAAGCCUCACACAUGCAUUCAAAAGGCUUUACAAAUGCCCUGAUAAUGCACUGUAAGAGGUGGGUUCAUAUAAAGGGGUGAGUUGACUGAAAGUUGGACACAUAGCUGUUCGCCAGGAGGCUAAAGAAUCACCUAAACUCCAACUCUUUGCUGAGUGCAAGGUCAACUGAAAGUUGGGUUGAGUCAGCAUUUCCAUUGUCCCAACAUUUGACUUCAUAAUACCUCUUCAGGGACCAAUGGGUGUAAUCAAUGAGACUCCUUCCAUGCUUUAAAUGGCUUAAACUCAAUUUAUUUUUAUCAUAUAGAACUUAUCAUAUAGCAGGGAUAUUAUAGCAGCAUCUAUGAUAAACGCAAACUGUAACUAACUAGAACCUUGAUUGUUGAUUGGCUGUUUGUGUAGCCAAUCAGAGAGGACAAGAGGCAGGACAUUGUUAGAACUCUUGCUAUCAGCUGCGGAGUCCAGCGAUCCGCAGCGGAACGGAAAGAAGCCAGUAGAAAUUGACACAUUAACUUGGUUGGAAUGGUUAUGAUCAACUGCGAUCGGCGGAUGCAGCCUUUUCAUAGCCAUUUCGGAUGUGGUGGAAAUUGGGGGUUAGGUAUUUAACUGUUUCUACUUUUUACAGCACAAAUGCAUGUCAGAAAGGUUUUCAGAAAAUAGGCCUGCAUCAGGAUGAAUGCAAACUUAAUGCGAAAAUGACAUUCCUCAAGUAUUUUGCAUCUUGCAAAGUCACGAGCUUUGCAAAUAUUUACUUUUUCUAGUGUUUUCUGUUUGCUUUCAUUUUCUCAGUUUACAGUGCAAAACAGUCUGUACUACACAGACUGAACAGCAUUUGAAUCAACACCAUAUGUUAUAAGUUCCUGUCGCUCCCCGAGGAAUAAUCAGGAUCCUUCAGCUCCCAAGAGCAAAGAAAUUAUCACUUUAUCCCUGUAUAUAAUAUAAAGGUUUGUAAAUAAUGUGAUGGCAGUUGUUGCCAUAUGAUGUAGAUCAGCUGUGAUCUAUUUAAAGCAUAAUACGUGUGGAAAAAAGCAUAAUGGCCCCCAUGUUGAAAUAAACAUAUUUUCUUUGUUCAAACUUGUGAGUACAAUAUUGUCAGAGUGGCUCUUCACUAAAAAUAAAUUCAUUUGCAUCAAUUUAAAAAGAUUUCCAGAGACGUCAUUUGCAUUUGUUUCUUUCUUGUUUUUAUUACAGCAUUUUGUAAUUUAAUUAAUCCUCUGCUGGCCUUAGAAGACAUAUAUUUAAUUAUUAGACUUGUUCUUGAAGUGUCUGCAUGAACAGAUUGCGUAGCACAGCUCUGCAAACCUUCCCCCGUGAUGUUAAUGUUAUUGUGAAUGCAAUGGAAGAAAGCUUGGGUAAAUUCUGUAAUAAUGGCAGGAGGGGGAUGGAUAAAAAUGGAAAUCGUGGCUCUCUUCUCGCCCAAGUGUGUUUGUGAAAGCGAGACAUGACCUCUACAUCUGUAGGCCCGUUAAGCUCUUAAAGCUGAUAUCACCUGUCGCUCUGCUGUUUGCUUGAGCGCUGUGUACACAAACACACCUGGCUCAAGAUCCCGCUGAAUUCUGAUUAUAGCCCUCUAUCAUUUCUCUGGGACUUAUUUACCACAUCUCCUGACAUUGUGUGCUAACAGGCGGAGGAGAAGUAAAACCGUCUUCCUCCUUGUACGUUUUAAUAGCCUGCAAUCUCCUCUGUCUUCCCCGCAUGCUGUUGUCACUUUGGUGUUGACCAAUUUAGAUAGCCUUCUUCUUCUCUUUUAUUUCUUGCACUCAUUCUCUUUUGUCUCUCUCAGAGCGGGCAGAAGGAUGCCAUCGAUCUUCAUGAGGUUUUGAUACACAUCGUUUCACCUCCUGCAGUACCUGCUUUAUCAGGAGAUUGGAGGAGGACGGAUGACUGAUCAGACUGAUAUAGCUUCUCUCGCUUUUCAGUGACAACCCCCCCUCUCUCCUUCUCUUUUCUCAUUCGGCUUCAUCCUUCUUUCCUCUCCUCCUUUUGCCUCCUGCAGGGUAAUUGAAAUUUCGAACAGCUUUAGCCUUGUGUUUGACUCAUUUUUUGACACAAGCGUACCUUAAUUUUUUGUGUAUUUCGACUUAGCUUGGAAAAUCCGCUCGCAGCAGACAACUUGAAAUGUGUUUCAUAAAGUUGUGGUAUUACUUUUCUGAGGUUUACACUUCCCUCUCAACAUUUUAAUGCAUGUUUAAGCUUUUCAGAAGAUCCAACGGCUUCAGUGAAAUUAAAUUCUGCGCAUCAUAUGAAUGCUGAACAAACAGACCAACCAACCAAAUAAGCAAAUUUGUUCAACCUUCAAAGAGGGAAAUAGAUAAGCCCUUGAGCGGGGAAUCAAAAGUCCCAUCACUCCCCUAUAAUAUUUCAUCUGGAAACAGGUCAACUUGAUAAAGGAAUUUAUAUGAGGAUGAUUGAUUUCCCCAAAUGACUAAUUUCCUUUGUGCAGCUGCUAUCGGUGAGUUGAUAUUACGUUGGAGAGAAUUGGGUACUUGAGGAGAAUGAGAUGCGGAGAAAAGGUCACAUGGCGGGUUAACUUGUCAGGAAUCCCAAGCAGGGUGUAACCUUGACUGAAAGAUGGUGGAAAAUAAGAAGAUAUGUUGACAAAUAGGGGAGUAUCUGAUGAAAAAAGCCCACCUGAUGGAUGAGAAAAAAAUGCACAUUGUCAUGUAUGCCACUGAUCUGAUCUAUAUGGCUGAAUAAGCGUGAAUAACUUCUGAUGGCGCACAGAUGAAAUGAUUAAUUUCUGUGACUGAUAAACCUUCGCCGAGGCCAGGCAAUGAGAGCUUAAAUUGCUGUAUGACUACUGUCUCUGCCUGUUCUCUCUGGAGGGGAGAGAAGCUGUUUACCGUCAGUCUGCACAAUAUCUGCCUCCAUGCAAAUAGCUCCCGUGUUUCAUAAUAUAGGGCGGUAAUAGGUUUUCAGGUAAUUUUAAAACAAUGUAGCAACAGUGACACCAUAAUAACAGCAGCCGAGUAGAGCCUAAUACGCAGCGACAAUAAGAAAUGGAGGGGAAAGCACAAACACUUGUAUGAGAUAUUUCAGAAUGAGAUAUUGAAAUCCAGAAACGCCCAUUUAAGCUGGACUGAAAGAUUAUUAUCUACUCAAGCCGAAAGUGUUCUGUAUGAGGACAGAUGACCAACAGAUCUACACAGUUAAAGGGAUAUUCCGGCGUGAAAUUAAGUUAGGGUCAAACACAUCGUAACACAAAGUUAGACACCCUGUAGAGAGAUGACUGUUGCCAACCGCUUCGACCGCACAAUAGCAAUCCACAGCGGUCUAAGGAGCCACGCGCUCAACCAAAACGCUACUCUAUAGCCACAAAUAAUGCUCAGAACAGCACAUAGCUUCAUCAACAGUACAUAUAGGGUCUUAGCCACAGCACUAGCCACCAAACAUCUUUUUAGCUUUGCCUAAUUUCUUUAGCAAAGAGACUAAGCACAACUCACCUACUCCCUUCCAGCGGCUGCUUGUUUGUACGGAGACCUCGAACGAGUCCAUCACCGGCUGCAGCGGGGUGAUGCAGCUCAAAGAAGAAGAUUUACAAUCAUUACUUCAUCAUUUUUUUGAAGUAAUAAUCAUCAUAUUAAUCAUUUAGCACUGCAGACGUGGUAGUUCUUCUGCCUUGGCGUCUUGGUGUGAUUGCAUUCCCAUCUCUCGACGGGGUGUCUAACUCGGUGUUACGUAGUGUUUGACCCUAACUAAAUUUUAUGCCGGAAUAUCCCUUUAAAGAGUAAAUCUAACACUCCUUUUAAAAUAACUAAAACUACAUCUCUCAAAUUAUGCGGUCUUUAACGCCUCAGUAAUGUCUUCUUGCCAGCCUACAUGCAGGAUGAACUGACAGUACUCUGAGCAUGACAUUACAAGGUUGAGUUGAAACGUUAGCCUGCUUUUAUGUUAUAUUUCACAUCAAACGGACCAUCUUCUCCACAGUAACAGGAGACAGAGUGAACACCUCGCAGGAAUAUUAAUGCUGACAUGUUGCUCCUCAAUGAGCUCUCCUUUGUGCUUUUCCAGUUAAAUGAUGCCUUUCAACUCAUUACCGUCUCUCGAUUGACCCAUACCUAUUAAAACUUUGUCUUUGCAUCGUCCCUUUUUUUUUCAUUUGUCAAAGUUUGUUUACUCUACCAGCUUUCCUAGCAACAAGUCCAUGUUAUUCAAGCCAACUCAAAGCAUACCAUGCUAACACUGGAGCAUUCACAGUCCACUCAUGCCAGUUUCAGUCCAAUAGAGCCAGAGAAAAUCCAUCCUCAAAGCUUUAUUUUUUUCCCACCUAAUUUUGUUUUUUUUGUACCUAAUUCCUUGUAUAAAAGCCUUGCAGUUCAGUGGUUUCCACCUCUAGCUUUUAAUUGCACCCGGUUUUAAUUUUCAGCCCUUGUCUGGCAUUUGCACCUUCACCUCAUGACUGUGUGCAUUCCUCUAAAAGCUCUGAUUUCCUCACAAAAUAAACAAGCUACUUACUGUACCUAAGCUCAGGUAUAAUCUUUUUUUUUUUUCUUCUUGGAAGGUGAAAAAAUAUUCAUCUAUGUUCACUCACAUUUAAAGGGAUAUGUAUUCAGACUCUAUCAGUAAAAUGAUGGUAAUAGCUUUCUCAUAAAUCACAAGAGUCACCGUUUUUGACACUAACCCCGUAAGUGUAGUUCCAAACACAUCCAAUCUCACCUCUGAUAGGAAAUGAAAAUAUCACCUUAUCUCAGAAUUAGCUUCACUCCCCCAUCAUCACCAUUGCACCAUCAUCUUCCUCCUCCAAUGCUGUGAAGAGCCUGAAGAUGUUUUAAUAUUACAUGCCAUCCUUUUGGCUUUAAUAAUUAAAGACUCCAGCAUUGAUGUUGAUUAGAAGCUUUCACUUGGCUUAUGAGGCAAAACAGCUGAAUGUAAAAAAAAAACAUCUUUUUUUUUUAUUACUUCAAAUGUCAUUUCAUCGAAGACUCAUUGGUGAUGCACUGCAGUGCUGAGCAGUCUUUUGAGUUAACACAGUGUACAGAAGAAAGAUGUCCAUGUACACUUUCAAAGAGGGUGAAAAUAACUGCGGCCCUAUAACCAAGAAUCUUAGGGCUGCAGACCAGCAGCUUGCAACCUUGUGCACUGCAGUAAUGCUCCUUAAGGUUGCUAUGGUAACUCUGUUAACAGUAUGUUUCUUGUCCAAUCAGGGCCUACAUUACAGUUUACUUAUUAUAUGAAUUUCCAGGGCUAAAAUAACCUCUAAUGAUUCUGUAGUUUUCAGUCUUUUGUUGAGAUGAAGCACUGCAGCUCAAGUAAGGCUUGAAGGUAUUAAGAAAUAAGAGCAGGAAUAAAUGUACAAAGGAAAUGUAAGAGAUUUAACUUUCAUUUUACCGAGGGAAAUGAUCAGAGGAGGUAGGGUGUUUUGGGGAAAAAAAACAUAUGAUUAGGAUAAUUUCAGUAAAAAUGGAGGUAAAAACUUGCUGAACAAGAAAUUGGUUAGAGACAGACUUGGCUUGAUUAAAAACAGAAUACACCCGUAUCAGAGGAGCAGGCUUCUCAGCCAAAUCUGAACAAAACUAAGAGAAGCUAUAGGAGCAUAUCAUCCUAUAGAAAUAGCAUUAAAAAAAACCCAUGUAUCUCCAGAUGUCAUAAUUGUUCUUUCACUGCACAGACUACCUGCAGCAAAUCAAGUGUUCAGUUUAGCUGAAGCAAACAAGUAAAAACCUGUGAAAGGAGCAGAUCAGAUGAUAUUUUUCUUUAACUGAAUGUGGCAACAAAGUAAUUAGUUUGCAUAUUUUUAUACACAUUUGAAAUGUAUAAUAUUAUCAGCAUAGUGUACAUGUGUAUCAGCCCAUUUAAAGGUGGAACUCUUUGCCAGGUCGAGAGAGAAAGAGAGAGAGAGGUAGAGAGAGGUAGAGAGAGAUCCUUGACAGAGAAAUCUCAGAUGGUUUUUAAUCAACAGACCUGAGUUUUUCCUUUAGUCUUAUUUUCCUAUAGCUCUCUGCUUUUAUAACAUUCAGGCUGAAUACAGACGCAGCUCUUUGGUGCUUUUAGCGUGUCGGGCGUUACAUCCAAUAGGCUUUCUGCCACUCUGUGGAUGUUGUUGCAGUGACUUCACCUGUUGUGAUAUAUCUCUUUUUUUCCCCCCUCUAUUUUUUUGUAUGAUAAUUUUGCUUUAUAGGACUGCUCUGGAUAAAGGGAAUAAAAAAUGAUAGGCCAUGAUAGCACAUGUUUAAUUAUGGGACCUUUGCAUUGGUGUAUACACAGUAUCAUGUCAUCUAUUGUUUCAGUUUUUUUAUUGAUUGAUGUUUUUCAGAGAACCGCAGAAAACAACAUAAUGUUGCUUUAUGUCAGUACACGCCAUAGACACCCUGUUAUAUUCAAGUCAACAUGUUCUGACCUGUUUAAAGUGCCAUUGACAGCACAUCCUCAGACAGGGUAAAAUCAAUACGUAUGUAACCCAAACACAGGAGUCAUACGGACAAGACAAACUGGAGCGGUUUCAUAAAAGAGAAAACAGAUCCUAUUGCAAGACAUGCAGAGAGAUCAUGUAGUUUAUAGUUAUUAAUUAAAAAAAAAUUAAAAAAACUGGAGAAAUGUGAAUUUAAAAUUGUCAGUUUGUUCAGAAAGAGUGAAACCAGCUCGACUAAACCUUUUACUGAGCUGGAGUCGAGUUAAAGAUGUGGAAAGGUGAUAAUAAUUACCAACAAUAUUAGGGGAAAAAGGGAUUUUCUUGGGUUAAAUUACCCGGUAUUAAUUUCAGGCGGUAAAUCUGUCUGCGAAUGACUGGAAGCGAACCUGUGCUAAAUUAGGAGGAUGCUAAAUGAAGGAUAAGGUCAGAAAUGGGAAACCAAAAGGGCUGGGAACAGAUAAAGGUGCUCGGGGAAGGAAAGAGAGCGAGAAGAGGUGGAGAAGCCAAGCCUUUGCAGGUGGCCCCAUCACCACCCAAACGUGCUGGUAAUAGCUGCCAUUCAUUAUCGAGCGUACGACUGCCUGGUGCAGGACCAACUACCCCAUCCAUCCCUGUCAGCUGGUGGCAUGUCAAUGACAAAACCUUAAUUACACCAUUAAUUAAUAGAACGAUUUUUUCCAGCAUGCUCUCUGUGCCUGGUGUUCGUUAAGCCUCCUCGUGAGCGAUUGCUCAUGCCACCAUACCGUUUAGCUGACAGAAGUACAGCGAGUGAAAAAACAAGUCAAUGAAAUGGCAUCCAGAGCAAGGAAGGGCCCUGAAAAGCACCCCGGAGCUCUAUUGAUUGACAAGAUAAGGGAAGAAAGAGGUUCAUCUUGUUGUAUGCUUCAUCAAUUGAGGUAAGUCACAUCCUCUCAGAAAUCCCCUGUUGUUUGUUUGACACGUAAUGAGAAUGUUACUCAGCUGAAGGGGUGGCGACAAAAGCUUGAGCACCGAAGCGCCGAAGUAAUGGCUGACAUACACAGUCAAGGUGAAGCCACUGAGGGCAGGAUUAACACCAAAACCCAAGAUAUUAAAGGACACAUGUUUGAAGGGAAUAUCGAGAACCACUACAGUAACUCCUCGGGCUCUUUAACAGACUGUGCCCAGGAAGUAGCCAUGUUCAAAAUCAUUUCUUUCAAGGGCUGCAAAGUGUUCAGCCUCUGCUUUCAUCCUGACUGGAGAGAGACCUAUUAUAACCGUGUCCAUCUACAGUAUCUAUUCAGCAACGCUGAUGGCUGUGCUGCACAGAGGAACCUGCUGCAGAGCAAGAUGUGGAUGAUUUGGAGGAAUACAAGAUGUACGAGAAAUGGACUUUGUACAGAUGUAAUAAAAGGCUCCCUCACCUUUCAAAAUUCAGAUUUAAAUUUGUGAUUUUUUAAAAUCCAGGAAGAAAACACUUCAGACAAUAUUCAAUUAAUCUUUCCAACGUUGGCAGCCAUGACAAAAGUGGCUGAAUAGAUAAUAACAUAAAAUUAAUCACUGCAAACAUUACACCAUGUCACACAGGGUCACACCGACAAUGGUGUCAACACAGUGUUUCUGCGCUGCUUUCAAGUAACUGUUGAAAUUUUUAAAAACAUGUCAGCGAGUAAUCUUCUUUUUUUAAAUGAUGAAGACAUCUAAACAAGAGAGCAAACAGGAGCACCAUCAAAUUAGCUCUGCCACAGAGAGCAGCAGACAGAGAAGAAGAUAAACAAUAUAAAAAAAAGAAAAAAGUGAAAAGGUCCAAAAGCUUGAAAUUGACAGUGGAAUGCAGAGGGGCUGGGGUGCAGAGCUGUGACCGGUGUCAAGGCCUCAUCACUUGAAAGAGGAAUGGCAGAGCAAAAUGCUGAAUAAAGCAUCAAGCUGCCUGACUGUGGCAGAGAGGAGGAGAAAAUAGCCAUCGCAGAGGAAUAGUCAGGCUGAGUUAAAGACCAGUUAGUCCAGACACUGUCUCACAAGCAAGAAGGGAUGGGUUAGUACAUUUAAAAAUGGACAUGCAUUUAUGAUUGUGGCAAACUUAAGUUUUCAUCAGUGUUGUCUAAGAGAUUAGCUCCCCAAAAUAAACCAUGACAUUCAACUCCUCCAUACUGUGCACGAGCAAAGGUGGCUGUUUGUCAAAAAAUAAAUAAAUAAAAAACAAGCAUAUGUUGUCUGAGUCCGCCUCUUUUUUUUUGUCAAAUGAGGAAAGUCUUUAACAAACAUGUUCAACCUGUUUGAACACCAGGCAGCCCACUGGGAGAAGAUAGCAGAUUUCAGUUUUCAAAAAGGACCUACAUGCACGGAUCUAUCACGGCUAAAAACCUCCAAAAUAAAUGCAGCUCAUGCUCUGUAAUCAAGCUGGAGUCUCUGUCUUUGUGAUUGAGAACUGUGUGUGGAAAAUGUUCUCUGGAACUGAGGCUUAUAACAAAAAAAUAAAUAAAAACAUAUCAGGAAAAACUUGAAAGAUAUAAAACUGAGUAUUGUACAAAAGUACAAAGCUGAGGUGCUAAACUGAGUAUUUCCAAUAUGUGCUGACAGAGAUGGAACUUCAAACUUAAACAUAUUGGAGGUAAUCAUAAUGGUGAUACUUUUGUUCUUGCAUUUAAAUGUUCAUUUGAAUGAAAAACUUGAACCCUUAAUGAUAAUCUAUGAUCCUGUUUACCUUCAACCACAGACUAGGGAUGCACCGAUCCGAUAUUUGAUAUCAGUGUCAGUCCCGAUACUGAAGAAAUUCUAGAUUGGGUAUUGUGACAAUGGGUCUGAUGAAUGGGGCUGAUCUACUCAGUCUAACUCUAUGCUGUGCGCCGUGAGUGGCAUCCACAUGUGAACACGCUGAGCGGAUGCCCUUAUUGUUUUCAAAAUGGAGCGAGCAAAGGGGUCUGCUAUCUUGAACUUUAUCACAAAACCUCGGCCUACAAGCUCGAUGGCUACUUGCAAUACCUGCGCAGUCAAUUUUCAAAGGGGCAGUGGAAAAACUUCAGGUUACAACAAAAGGUAAUUCAGCACAGCAUUUCUGUAUCUGUAUCGGAAUCGGAUCGGUAUCAGCCGAUAAUAAACUGUAGAUAUGCGUCUUUACCACAGACAUGGACUUGGUUUUGAGGAAGUCAUCCAUUUGUUUCUCAAGAGGCGUAUUACACAAUGAUGCCGGUUGACCAGGAAAAGGGGUGGAGUCGAAGCUCUGUGCUCUCAUCCUGCCAUGCCCCAUUUGUACAAAUUAUAGCAUAACUCCUCAUUAAUCAAAAUGGAUGAGGCAUUAAAAAAGUUUGUUUGAACACAUAAAAUUGAGACCAAACUUUUUUUUUCUAUACUUGGUUCUAAAUCUUUUAAUUUCUGCUGUAAAGUUCACCAGCCUCAAGUGGACACCACAGACUCUGUAAAACAUAAAUUUAGUCUGAUCACCAACUCUGACACUGAGUUUUGAAGCCCAUUAACCGAGCUGAAAUACUAACUCAACCUGGUUAAACAAACAGGGAACAGGAUGAAGUUGAAGUCGCUCUUUAUUUAAAGCUCUCUUUGCCAACAGCUUCAGCAUGCCAGCCUGUCAAUUCAGUCACUACUGCACUUCAUUACACAAAACUUUUAACCAUAAUAUUUUCACAAUCAACAUUUUUUGACAAAUUAAACACACACAUAUGUAUGUAGAGGCUUUUGCAGCCACUCUGUAGUGUUAGUGCUGUAGUAUAUAGUAUAGGUUAUAUUGUGUGUAUAUGGGAUUUUUUUAUGAUUAAAAAAUGUAAGACUACUAAUUUAACCAUGUUAACCCAAAGCCAAGCAGAAUGAGGCUCCUGCAAAGCCCCAUCGGACAACACAUUAAGACCCAGUGACCCUUAUGCUACAAAUGAAUAUUUAUGAGUCUACCAGCAUAUGGUGGUAAAGGUACAGAUAGGGAAAGAGAUAAAUAUAGAAAAGGUUAAAGGAAAGCUAGAAUUAUCAUCCACUUGCACGUGAGGAGUAGCCUCAAAAUGACAUUACCUUCCUCAUAUGCAGGCAUUAGCACUGCAUGAUGCUUACGGCUGAUAAUGGAAUAUUGUGUCAUGUUUAUGUUAGGUGGAGAGAUAAGUCUCAUCAUUAUCACUAAGCUUUGCAGAGUCUGUGUUGGAUGAUAUCCAUUGGGAGCUAUUUUCUUGUUAGAUUUUCCUCCGUGCUACAGCUGAUUUACUGCUUUAUGGCAGCAACAAAUACUCUCAGGUAUUGAAAUAGAUUCGAGCUGAGAAUGUCACCAUGGCUGAAAUGCUAACCGGGCCCUCCUCACUCAGAGAGCUGCCUCUUUAUAAUGUGUGUUUCGCAUCAUUAUCACAAUAAGCACACAGGAUAAUCGUACCUCAUUAGUUAUGUUUGAUAUUAAUGAGGGUGAUAUAAAUACAUUCCCCCUGUGUUUCAAAUGGCUAAGCAAGAAAACACAUAGCCGCUUAUCUUGCCUCUAAUACAGUCUGGGUAAAUGAUGGGGCUUUGUGCUGCCAGAGCCUGGGAGAGCAAGUACGCAAACAGUGCUUAUUGAUCCUCUGAGUGGCUCCGAGGCGAGCGUCUGCAUACAUACAUGACCGAAUGAUAACAGAAACUAUUCAGCUAUGAAAUACCUCAUGCACGUUUAAGUAUUUUGUAGCCGUUGCUUAAAUGUAGGAGAGGAUUUUUUACUCCCCAAAACAAGAUCUGUGCAUGUAUGUGUGUCAGAAAUCAGGAUAAUUUAAAUGCGUGUAAGGGGAACAAGAGAGCAAAGCAGAGGUAAAGAAGGUCACGGCAUAACAUCUCAGCGUUCAGUAAUAGAAUAUGGCAGACUUUGUGUGAUGCUGAAAUCUGUCAGAUCUCCCUGCCCGGCCUCACUCUCUGUGUGUCCUCCUGCUUGAAAUUUCUGUUUGAUUCCACGCUGGGGAGAAGAGGCAGUCAUUAAUACACCGCAAUAUCUUCCAUGUCCUUUGGUGCUGAGGGAAUCCUUUACCGCAUCCCUCCUCCAAAGUUAUGUAAAUCAAACUGUGCAUCAAAAGCCAUUUGCCACAUUAAGCGCAGCCUGCAAAUAUAUGUGUACAUGCAAGCAACCUUGACAAGCCCAAGACUCCCUGUUGUAUUUCAAAUUCCCUCACCUCAUUUAAAAAUCAACCAUGCUUAAAAAAUGAAGACAUAAUCAAGCAGCCCGCUUUGAAAAUCAAUGGAUUCGACUUGUUUACUUAUGAAUAAGAGAAAUGUGCUAUUUGCGCCCAUCAGAAAUUCUCUGUUUGAUAUUCUCCAUCUGAGACAUACAGGAGAACAGAAUCAUAUAUUAUUUAAACAGCAACACUUGAAAUCUUAUUACUGUACAGUAUACGCCUAAUACCAACUCUUUGAUUGUGUCAAAUACGAACUGGAAAAGAAAGGAGGUGCUUUUGGACUUUUUUCAUCUCAAAGUCAGCUCAUAUAGAGGAUCCAUGAGUGGAAAUCCAGUCUGACAAUGACCUUCAUAGAGUCAGAUUCUGACUUUGUGCGUCAGAGCGCUGCUCAGGCUCUAGCUGACGUCCACCUCCUUAUAAAAUAUAUAACUGCACAUAAGGGGCUGCAGAGAUACUGGGAUGACUCGGCGCGUGCAUGCAUUGGCUGCUCCGUGUUUGUAAUGCUUGUUGAGACUGUUGCAAUUUCACAAAAGUCUGUGUAAUAUUUCCUUGAAGUAGUAGUAGCCAAGUUUGUAUUUCCUGAUCUCACACUUCAAAACUCUCCUUUCCUCAGUUUUUGCAAGGACAGAGAAGUUUUGCAUAAAGAAUAAAGAGAGGCGAGUAAUGGAAGUAAGGCCAAGUUGUAAAACAAGGUCCCAAUUAAACUUCUCAGUGGUCUGGGUGGAUAUUUUUUUUUUCUUUUUUUUCAGAUUAAAAAGGACUGAAACAUUGUGAUGUCUAAAUUUCUGUCUGAUUUAAUACCAUACAUUUACUUUGGUUAAAGGGAUAUUCCAGCAUAAAAUUAAUUAAGGGUCAAACACACCUCGAGAGAUAAAUUUUCCUGACCGCUUGCUUCUCUAGUUAUACCAACUUUAGUAUCGACUGCACGCUGGCAAUGCACAUCGGUCUCAGGAGCCACGCAGAAACCGCAACCAAAAAGCCAGGAGACCUCAGACGAGUCCAUCACCGACUCCAGCGGGGAGACGCCGCUCAAGGAAGAACAUUCAUGGACAUUACUAAUGUCUCAGUCUGAUUGCAUUUCCAUGAAGAAAUGAUCAUAAAUGUUCUUCCUUGAGCUGUGUCACCCCGCUGUAGUCAGUAAUGGACUGGCCUGAGGUCUCGCUACAAAGAAGUGGCUGCAGGAAGAGAGUAGGUGAGUUGUGUUUGAUCGCUUUGCUAAAGAAAUUAGGCAAAGCUAAAAAGAUGUUUUUGCUAGUGCUAUGGCUCAUGCAAGCCUGUGAGGCGAAACGCGUUGUUCUUUUAACCAAUGAAUAAGUUUACAUUCUGACCACAUUGUGUGCCGUGGAACUCUUUUCUUUUUAGGAACUUUUUUCUCGACAUCACCAGCACCAACAUCAAGAUCUGUUGCGCAAUCCUCUUUUUUGUACUGUUAAUAAAGUUAGGUGCUGUUCUGAGCAUUAUUUGUGGCUAUAGAGUGGCGUUUUGUUAAGGUUUCUGCUUGGCUCCUUGGACUGCUGUGUAUUGCUAUCAUGUGGUCGUUACUAAAGUUGGUAUAACUAGAGAAGCAAGCGGUCUGUGACAUUUAUCUGUGAAGGGGUUGUCUAACUCAGUGUUACGGUGUGUUUGACCCUAAAUUAAUUUCACCCUGAAAAGAUUUUUUUAACAUGUUGUUGGCAUGUAGUGAGCUCUUGUUAAUUUUCUAAAUUCCAAUUUCAGCAGGUACAAUUUUUCCUAACAGCUUUUAGUGAUCAUUUGACACUGCUGUUUUUUAAUAUUCAUCACAAUAUCAAAACAUAAGAGGCUUGCUGGUUUGAACAGCCCAUUGAAAUCAGCCGGCUCUGUUUUUGCUGUGAUCCUCUCACUCUGUAUCUACUUUCAUAUGACUCACUUGUUUCCUCAGUCUGCAGCUGGCCCCCUCUGUGUGUGAAUCUCUGCACCACUCACUACACUGAUGCAGGUAAAAGAGUUGACCGGCUGAUCAGCAUUACUUCUGAUGAUUUACAAUAAGAGCAUUGGUUCAAGACUUACUUGCGCCGAACUGGUCGUUACAACAAGAUGUGAAAGCUGCACAGUGUGAGUAAGAGGAGCAUACAGGUAUGAAAAGCUAGGCUGGUAAGAGUCGACGAGCUCAUUGUAAUUUAACAGGUCAAGGUCUGGAAAGGUCAGAACCUUAGCCCAGCGAGUAACAUUUUUAAUUAGGAUUGACUGAUAUGUUUUUUUGGGGGGCUGAUACAGAUUAGGACACCAAUGACUAAUAUUUAGAACCGAUAUUCAUUAGCAGUAAAAAUGUAUAUUUUGGUUUCAAAAUUUUAGAUAAUACACCUGGGAUUAGACUGUACACUGUUUGUUUUUUACACUAUGAAAAUCUGUGAUAAAGGACCUUAAACUAUUAAAUAAUAAGAUGUACUCUCAUUGUGGAGCUGCAUCUAAAAUCUUGAGUAUUGAUAGGCUGUUUGUGUAGCCAAUCAGCAGGGACUGUAGGCAAGACAUUGUUACACAGCAAAGAGUGGCGACUUUAGGCAGAGAAAGGCAACUGCGUAACAAGCGCAUUUAAAAUAGACUUAUUUUAUUGGCUAUCGGUGGAAAAAUGUCUGAUGCCAAUUAUUGUGAAAGUGCUGAAUAUCGGCUGAUAUAAUCGUCCUUGCCGAUUAUUGGUCAACCAUAAUAUCAGUAUGAAUCAUAAAUAAUCUCAAUUAUGAUUCUUAUUAUUGAGCAGCACUACAGGAGUGCUCUUGUAUGCAGUUAAUGAUAAUAAAGAAACAAACAUAUGCAAUAAAUUACCAAUAAACACCAGCUACUGUUGUUGGUGUAUUGCACAUUUUUUGCAGUCGGGCUUAGUUUGAGCAGUGGAUUCCUAAACAAUAAUUUCUGUAAUUAAUUUUACUCCACUGACAGCAAAAACUAGUAGUGUCCUGCCAAAAUGAGAACUAAUUACAAAUCACCAACUCUUUGUUUUGUUUGAUUUUUGACAAUAUUGUUGGACUCUAUAUGUUGGUUCCUGAUUCUUCAGAGUUGUAAAUGAUGAAGGCGUGUUUGCCCGCGCUUUGCAUAGUUAAGUUGUAAUCAGAGGGUAUUCAAAAGGCAUUUCAGGAAAAGGAUAUCUGCCAGAAGCCAUUUUAAUGCUCAAAUGGAUUCCUGCGGCGGAGCGGAUUGAAGUGGAGGUGGUCUGACCACAAGAAUUAAUAUAUACAAAGAGGGAUAAACAGGAGAAUAGAUUGCUGUCACAGUUGGUAAUUUCAUGGUUUGAUUGAUUGCCGGCAUAUUGUAUUGCUCAUACUGAGGUGAUUAAUCCGUCUUUGAACAGUUCAAAACCUCUGAGCCUCUGUCUUGUAUGCCUUGCUGGCAACGCUGUCCAAUACAAUUGUAUGUCACUUUCCUUUAGAUUCCAUUAUUCUUCUCUUAAUUCCUCUUUAAAUACUGUCGCCGUGGCUGAUGUGUGUGAGUCUACGAGCACACAUCAGUGACGGAGGGAGAAAGUGAAGGGAUGUCUGAGUGAGUGUUAUUAACCUUGCAUUGUUUGCUCAGGCUUACAUAUAUGCAUGAGCUGGCAGUCCUUGAUUCCAAACCGAUAAAAACCGUUUAAAUUUUCAGACAGAAAAUGAAUCCUGUCAAAAAUGUACACAAUUGAAAUUUGUUAAAUUAAUGAGAUGAAAAGAAUAUGAAAGGGCGGCAGCAGGUAGACCAGAUGACGGGGUCAAUGGGAGACACCAUAAAACUGAUUAUGAUUGAUGAUGACAGAUUGGAACAUUUGUGCAUGCAGAGGAGAAUUAAUUGGAAAAUUAGCAACCAUGGUUAAGUAAUCUGUGGCCAACAAACAAUUCGCACAUUUAUAUUUUACAGGAUCCUUCGUAUUUGAGUGAAAAACUGGAUUAUACCCCAACAAAAGACCCCUGGUCUGAAUAUUACAUGUAAAUGGGAUUUUUCCCAACAUUUUCCAUAAAAAUGAUAAUACUAUCAAAUAAAAAUGGAAAAAGCAGCUCAGUCAGAAAGGAAAGCGUGGACGGCAGACUCUGUAAUUACAUCCACUCGUAUCCUGGGAGGCAUGUUUUAAGAUUCAGAUCGAGUGUUCAACAGAUGACUUCCAUGGCCGUCGAUUUUAUUUGCUCAUAGGACGCUGUGCAAAAAUCUGCAGGUCAGAGCGCAUUUUCAUAAAUAACUCAGCUCAAGAUAUUGUAACAGCUGGGCUUGAUAUUGCUAAUUCCACUCUAGGAUUGCAGUGUUCAAAGAAAUAAUUGGACGUUCAGGCAGCCAUUUAGCUUAAUCAGGUCCUGUGAAAAUUCAGACUCGGGUGUGGCUGAGCCUUUCCAAAGCUGGUUAUAAUACAACAGAAGAAGAGGUUGAGUAAUAUCAGAGUAAAAGUGAUGCAUUGUUUUCAAAUUUUUAACAAACAUUAAAAUUAGACGAUUGUAGUUUUUGUUUUAAGAGGAAUAAAACAAUUCCUGGAAUUGAAAGAUCAAACAUACAAUUUGGACUAAUUGAUGAAGACCUGAAGUCAAGAGUCUAAAAAUACACCUGAGUACAUUUAUUUCUCUCUUCAGCCAUGCAAUCGCAGGGUCAUUAACACAGACACGGCUUCAAGACAAUUUGUUAUUCCCAAAUUGCAACACAUGGUUAAGCACCUUGAUGGAACUUUGAUGCCCGGAGCAUGUCCUCCCUGUGUCUGGCAGGAUGUCAUGAUCACGGCCGUGCACAGUAACAGGACACAGUAUGCAAAUAUCACCUCCAAGGGGCUUUAACCCUCUCAAAAAGUGAAGCCCACCCUGAAAUGAUCGAACAAAUUAGCAAUUCCUUAAAGCUAUACAUCACGCUGUCAUCAUGCAAAAAGGCAAACACUUAAAAGAGCAUUUUUCAAUUACACAACAGCAUGAGACCUUGAUUGUAAUGCAUGCUACUUUUUUAGACGUUGAAGCAUGUGCAGAGUCCUAUAAAGGAUUGGCAGCAUACACUGCGCUAUUAUAGAAGUCUAAACUCUGGAGUCAAGCUUUAGCUGAAAGUUCAAUUAUCCAGCCAGACUUCUGACCAUCCCCUCACUGUGUAUGUGCAACCAUCAACUGAAGAAAAAGAAAAAAAAAAGACAAAAGCUCAAGAUGUAGGCAGAGUUGCUAUAGGAGCCAAGUGCAAUUUGUACUUCUCGCAAAACAAAACCAGCCAGGAAAUAUAUUCAAAAACUGUAAAAGGUUCUUUAUAAUAAGAUGAGAUGAGCGAGGGAGAACUCAAAUGGGGGCGGCAGUCCCCAGACUUUGUUUUUCUAAAUAAAACGCAGAGUAAAUUCUGAAGAAUCAAUUGAAAAUAAUAGUAGAUAUCGGUUAAGCUCCUGCUGUUUGAGAGUGUUUGUCACUUCCAUUGUUUAUCUUAAAUUCACUGUAGGACUGUUAUGAGAUUGACAGGCAGUAACCACCUCAUUAGUGUUAACGGUCACUCUAUUUUUAACCCUAAACUCUGUGUGCUUUACAGAAAAUGGAAACAGCUAAGGUUAAGAAAUACAGUGGCACUUUUAAAAGUUGCCCCCUCCAAGUCAUAUGAGCUGCAACCUUGAGGAAAUAAAGACUGUAAUCUCUGUAAAUGACUAACAUCAAGCAUGUUCAUGUCAAAAUUGUGUUAUUCCAUUUGACACAAAAGAAAACAACACACAGCUUUUUAGUUUAUGUAGGAAAAAAAAGAGAAAACCUUCGGUUCAAAAUCAGCUUUCUACAUGUGGUCUCACCUCAUGCCUAUUACUAAUGCAGCUGGGUUUCUGAAUUAAUUGACACCCCUUGCCUAAGGCCAACAACCUAAAGGGGAAAAAGAAAUGAUGUGAACCAACAUAACCUUCAGAUACAAGUAGAUUCAAUCCAAUUUGUUCGACAUGAAUGAAGUUUUUGUUUAACAGUCUACAAAUAGAUCAGCCAUGUCAGGAUCGAGUUACUACAAACCUUUUAAUUCAAUAAGAAUCAGACGAAGGCAUCUUUAAUCCGGGGGAAAGUCCCCUUGAAAUGAACCACAGCACUAACCUAAAUUAGACAGAAUUUACUGAAAGCUUAAUAAACUCUGCUCUGACUGACUCUUUAAAUAACAAAAACAAACAAGAUCUCCAAGGUCAAUGAUAUCAUCUACAGUUUCGCAGCAGUUUGAAUGAAAUGUAUACUCUUGUGAAACUAACUUGCACAGCACUCUUUAAUGGAAAACACUGUGGAGGAAGGAUAUUUUUAACUGUAACAUGAGUCCCUUCUCUCGGAAAUCUUAUAGUUAUACUCUUACACAGCGUAAACAAAGAUCAUGUACGUGAGUGUGUUUGGAGAUGAAAGUAUGGUGGACAUCAAAAGCUCAUCAAGCCACAGGAAGAGAUAAGAGACCAAAGACUGUGCAUGCUACUCACAAAAUACAAGAAACAACUUCAAAAAUUCAGUCCAUUUCAACUUGAGAAGACAUUCAGGUGAUUUAACACACUUUAAUCUCAAUACACCUUUGUUAUUGCAACAGCCUUUUUACUUACAUGAACCAAAAAUCUAUUGAUCCACAUCAGCUGCCAGAGUUUUAACCAGAAAACAGAACAUGUGAUUAUGUCACUACCGUUUUAGUGUCUGUAUAAUAAACAGUUGCUUCUACUGGCUACUUCCCCAAGCUGUAGACCUCUUAGUGCCUCAUGAAUUAACAUACAUUAAGAUCCUCAGGAAGAUCUACUGUGUGUGCAAAAAGCCAGAGGACAGAGUAUUUAGAAGGGAGGGGUCCAACCCUCUACACGGGGAGAUCAAAUCAGCUAAUCUCUUUUUAAAAACAUACUUUUAUUGUUGAGCCUUUCCUAAUUUUACUUCAAUUUCAGUUCUGAUUGUUUUAUUGAACUCUUAGAGCAACUCUUGCAGCAACAAGUUUGUACAUAUAUAUUUGUAAUAUGAUGCCAGCAAAUAGGGAAAAAAGGGCUAUGACAAAAAUGCCACAUCGACUUUGUUAGCUUUCAAUACUGAGAAUAACAGACUUUUGGUGUCUGGAUGGCAUGUUUGUACCAGAUGUCAUACAUACACAUGAAACUCUCCGUUGUGGUAUUUUGCCACAACAUCUAUCAUAUCCUGCAAAAUAUCUAAAUUUCCAGCAUUGCAAGUGCCAAUGCAAAGUUUCCUGAGUUUCUAAGCACCUUUCGUCCUUUCAGCAAGAUGAUUAAUUUGGGGGGAAAAAAGGAGGAAUAAUCUUCAUAGUGUUUCUAGUAAAGGUGCUGGCACCUGUCAGUGCUCAGUGCCUAUUAAAAUAAAUUGCCGUAUAUCACAUCAUGCCUAUAUGGUUGUCUCUUCCUGUAUAGGGCCAUGGAUAUGUCAGUAUGUCUUUUACUUCAUUAGCAAGAUAGUCUGCAUACGGACAAUUUUUAAUUAGGGCUAAGGAUCUCCAUGUAAAGCUGGUUACAUGUAGCUCCGGCUCACACUGCUUUGUAAUAACCUAGAAAAGCACGCAUUUUUAAACAGAGGUCACGACCCUCGAAUGUAUUUUGUUCAAAAUGCCUUGAAAAAAAAAAUACACCUUUUUAAUGUUGCAAAGCACUGCACUCAGCAUCCACAGUGUCUUUCAUGAUUUGCAGUGAGGAUAUCUUUGUUGCUGCAAUGUUUUUGGAAAAUUUCUUCCAAACCGUCUUCCCUCCUAAACAAUGGUUUCGCUUUGAAAGCAUUUUUUUUCCCUGCCAAAAGAUGCAGCAGAGUCAAAGUGAGCAUGAUGUGAUGCUGCAAGACGUGACCACAUGCAUAGGAAGAAAUCUGCCAGUCCUGCACUUUCUCCUUGUUACUUACCCCUGACCUGCUCUUAAAAAAAUACAGUCAGCAGCAUCGCACCGCCUCUAAUGAUGUGUAAUCACAGUGGUUUCCUGCAUAAUGCCUUCAAUGUUGGGAGAGACCAUCAAGCACCACUGAUGUCCUGGGACAUUUUAGGCAGAUGGCAAUACUCUACUUCACUUAACAGGGAAAGAGGAGACUUAUUCUCACACCUCAAUGAAUGCGCCAUCGGAUACAUUGAUAUGGGGAUCUGAAGGUCAUGAAUUUGCUUAAUUUCUUGAUGAUUGUAAGCUCUACCGUAUAUUGAAAAUCAUGAAUGGUUUUGAUGGCUGUUGCUCCUUAUGUGCUGUAUGCAUUCCAUCACUUUCCUAAGAGCGAGGGGAAAAAACCAUCAAAGUUAUUCAUGUCAAUCUUUAAGCUCUUUAGAAAAAAUAAUGACGAGCAAGGCUGUUUGAAAACUCAUAUCCAUGUUUGCUUACGCUCAUUUCAUUCCGCCUUGUACCCCAUUCUAUUUCAAAGCAACUGAAAGCAAAGCAGGGCCACAGUUGAAUUCAAAUGAAGAUGCAAUUAAAUUGGAAAAAAAAAAAAGACCGUGAAGGAAUGUGACUGGGGGGAUGUUUAUGUAUCACAGAGUUCCCUGUGUCAUUGCGAAAACUUUUGACUAGACUCCAGAGGAGACUGUUAUAUCAAACAUGAACAAGAUCUUGCUAAGUACACAUGCUUCUUUUGAAAAUGUUCAAAUUAAAAUGGUCUUAAAUUGAUGUCUAAAAAAUGUUUUCCUUGCUAAGUAGUACCCCCUCAGUAGGAGAAAACUACAUAAAUAGAGGUUGUUGUUUUUCCUUUUUGUGUAGCUCAGGCAAGUUGUGACCCUGCAGUGGUGAAUAACAAUAUUUGAUGACUUGCGAGCUAAUUACUCUGGUCAAACCCUUAAUAGCACAACUGAUCAGAUUGCUAUUUCUGUUGUCUUCACGUAUGUAAUUUGAGGGGGCAACAUGAGGGACAUUCAGUCCGUGAACAUCGCUAUUCGCCGAUGUAAGUUUACAAAAGGGCGGCGUUCAUUUUACCUCUGUGACGUCACAUUCAUCUGAGGUUUCAUUUGCACCCCUGUAUCGGGUCUGUACUUCCAUCCACCCACUGGCUGUAUUGCCUCCUCUGUUACUGUGGGUGCAAGAUGUGCACACACAACCCCAACUUUUGCAAUCAAAAUUUCAUCCAUGGUUGUCUUUAAUAUUCUUGGUACUCAUCAAGUGAUCUUCAACGAUAUUUAAUGUCUGGCUAAUCAGGUCCAAGCCCUUUAGCUCUUGGCUUUUCCUGCAUAGAUCUACACUCAAAAGAAAUUAUUUUGGUCUGAUUGAGUUUUCUACAUUUUCUUCAUUUCUCUCUGCUUGACAUCAGCCUUAUACUUUCCUCCCAGGUUCAAAAACCCACUCUAAUUCAUUAGAAAUGAAGAGUGGUGAGGUGGUACUCCCGCCUCUUCUAUCGAUCAGCCGCCAUUGAUUACAUCAAGUAGAGCAAGAACAACUGAGUCUCUGACAGCACAGUAAAGCUCUGAAAUACUAUCAAAUAUAAUGUGCCCCCACACCAGCAUUAGUGUUCGGGUCAGAGUCUUUAAUAUUUGCUAAACUAUAUGGUAAAUCUAAACUGUGUUUGCAGUGGUUGUUGAAUUAGCUUCCAUGCAGGUUAUCCAUCCUGUUUCUCAUAGUAAAGAUGAGAAUACAAGGAUCCUCUGUGGGUAAUACAGUUGAUAUUGGUGAAGCCCCUCUCACAGCCCCACUAAAAAUGGAAGCUGUUCCCACAAACCACAGCUGGGUGAAGAAAAAUGUGCAUAUGUUAAAAUGCUAACAGGGCAAACUUAACUAGGUUGGAUAGAAGUUUCUGAGCACUUCUAUCGCUCAGAUGUUGGAUAGCUUAAAUUGGAGUAUAACUCCAAGAAUCUCUAUGACUAAAUACAACCUCACAGAGCCACUGGCAUGGUUGUAAACUAAGUUUAAAUGAAACAGCAACUCUUGCAGAUUUUCCUCAUUUCCCAUUACUUUUAUAUUUCCUUUUCAAUACCUGAAAUUGCAAAUUAGCCAAAAUCAGGGACUGAUAUUAUACCAACUAGACAUCGAAAUGAGACUUGGAAAUAACUGCUGUAUAAACUGUGCACACAGGAUCCUAUUACUGCCUACUUGGCAAAACAUCAGUCAUCAAUGUAGUUUCAUAGGCAUCUUGGAACCUGAUCACUGCAGCAGAACAGCUCUAAAAAUGUGUCUUCAGUUCAAGAUUACAUGUCAAAGCAACAACAUACUUCCAUAUUAGAGAGUAGAAUAAAUCUGAUGAUGUGGGUGCAAAGAUUGACCAUAGUCUGUGACACUGGAUCAGUAAAGAUUUUUUAAAGCUGUGAUCCAAUAAACUAAGGUUUUGCUUUUUUUCGCUUGCAUUUUGCGCUCAGCACCUUCACCUUUACAAAAGUGUUGCCUGGUGAGGUAGCACACUGAUUAAUCAAUAAUGUACUACACUUUUUCCAACUCAAAAGUCAAGUCAUUUGGACUCAAAAUGAAGGAUGAAAAUCUUUGCGAAAGUCUUCUGUCUGUAUUCAUUUUUCUAAAGCAAUUAUGUACAUUGGCUGCAAGACUAGCUUAGUUUUCUUUAACAGUGUUUGUAUCUGCUUUUGUUGUUAAAUGAGCUUUAAUUUUUGUUACUCACUGCUACAGAAAAUACAGAUACGAGGAAAAGGCAAGAUAUCUGUCUGGUUAUUACAAAUUUUUGAUCUGACCUGAAGUGAGUCAAACUGGACCAAAUCGAAUUGAAUCAAAUUGUUCUUUAAUUUAAUGAAUCAAGGGUCAAAUCAAAACAAAUCAGAUUGCCUCGUUACGAGGAUAUUCACCACCUAAAUGAGUUUAGAUGAACAGUUUUACACUCAUGCUUUUUCAGGUUAGCAGUCCAUCAGUAUGAAUCAUGCGCCCAGUGUGGCUGGCUAGCAGCUGUUUGGGGCCCCAAGUGCAAUCCCAAGACACACCUUGGCCCCCAACAAGUGCUAGCUGCAAUGAGGUGCAUCAUAGUGACUUUUAAUUUCCCUCUUCACCACAUCAGAUUUGCAGCGGGCUAGGGAGGAGAGGAGAGCAGGAAAUAGAUCCCAUGAUUCUUUCCAUCUAUAAUUUCUUAUCUGGUGGAGCGCCUUCCCUCUGCCUCUCCUCCAUCACCCCCGUAGGCCGUGCCUUUUUACUCCCUGGGUGUGCCACCAAUCUAGAAAUUGAAUUUGAGGGAGGGAAAUUAGAAAUGAGGGCAUUUUCACUUCAAUUUAUUUUUUCCAGUGAGUCGAUUUUCAUGUUUGGCCUAAUAAGGACACAAAAUGGAGCUCACUUUCGCACACUUGAUACCCUUCACCUCGCGACCUUGUCACCUACACCCCAUUGGCAUCCUUUCAACCUCUACCAGCCUCCCCCUGUCUGCUCUCCCACCCCUUUAAAGAGCUCUACAUCUUAAAAACAGUCAAUUUCCAAGCCAAAGUGUGCCACCUGCUUUUGGCAGCUGGAAGCCCUGGCAAAUGUAGAUAAAUGAACAGAGCCACCUGAGGGAUUUUAUGAAUCUGCUGCAGCUUGGCAGAUUUAUUUGCUCCCCGCCACAGAGAGCUGCACUGGUAAGCACAGAUUACGGUCUACAGCACAACUGCUCCCUGCCUGUUCUCCUGUCCUACGCUCCUUGUGUCUGCCCGUACCCGCUCUGAAGGGUUGUUGACCUGUAAUUCAUCAGUACUUUAAAUUGUAAACUGGAGCCUUGUGUUUUUCCUGUCUUCUUUCUCCAGCUCAUCAUCGC